rnacentral:lncRNA from 1 species
AGUUAUUAAAUCGGCUCCUUCUUGCUUGGGAGAUAACCAAACCCCAUUGACAAUAUUUCCAUACUCGUUAUCCUCUAAGCACUAUAUUUCAAAUCUGAAUUCUUUUGCCUUUUUCAUUGGUUGUGGGAAUAAUCUUAGCAAGUAGGACUAUGGUCUGACCAACUGCAAAUAAAGCAAAGACUUCCAUGUCUGGAAAAGCACUAUCCAUUCAAUCAUUCAUAAGACUCUAUCUAGUUUCUUUUUGACAGUCCUUGGGCUUCGUGGUCUUUUGCUUUUGGAUUCUUUAAUUGGCACUAAGUUGAAAUCAUAGUUCUUGAAUUCAAACAUCCACUUCUUUGGGCCUUGCAAACUGGACCAGGCCCUUCCAAUCAUGACCACAUUGGUGGAGCCUUGUUUAUCAUUUUCUCUUUUUUUUUUCUUAUAAAUUCAUUUUAAUAUACAAGGGUCUAUGCUUGAUUUGUCAACUAAAACUUAUGUGUCAAUAUUGACAUGGACAAAUUUUUAUUUUUUAUUUUUAUUUUUUCUUCACAUGGCCAACAAGACUGUUGACCUUUGGUAGAGGCAAUGGCCAACGAACCCCUCGCCAAGGGUGAGUAAGGGUUCGUUAUUUUACAAAAAUAAUAUUUACUAUAUACCAAAAUCAAGACUAGGUCAAACUUAAACAUGAAUGUUCCAUAUGAUAUUGAACUUUAACUGACAAUACUCAAUUCGAUAGUCUUAUAAGUCUAAUUGAGUUUUUCUUUUUAUAAAUUAGUUAGAUGAAAUUUCAAGCCCAAUCUAUUUAAUUGAAUCUAGGUGCAACUUUUGAAUACUUUGAUUUUCUUUAGUUGAGUUCAAGCAAGAAAUUCAAUACUUGAUCAAGCUAAGCUUGAGUGAAGUUUCAAGCAAUCAAACAUGUGAGUCGAGCAUGACAUUGCAUCAGCUCGUCUCAAUGUGAUUAUCCUUCUAUCUCGAGGACUAGGCCUAGGAUGUCAGCACUUAGACUUGAUACCUCAAAGGUGGAUUGACUUUUUCUUUUUGUAAAUUAUUUAAUACUUCUAGAUAAGAUUCCCUUGUGUAUGAAAUUUCAAGCUUUGAUCCAUUUAUACUUCAACAUAAUCAAAUUGAAUUCAAGUGAAACUUUUGAAUACUUCGAUUUUCCUUUCCAGUUGAAUUCAAGCACGAAAUUCAAUACUCGAUCAAGCUAAACUCGAGUGAAGUUUCAAGCGGUCAAACAUGUGAGUUGAGCUUGACUUUGCAUGAGCUCAUCUCAUUGCGAUUAUCCUUCUAUCUCGAGGACUAGGCCUAGGACAUUAGCGCUUAGACUUGAAACCUCAAAGGUCGAUUGUGUUAAGAUAUGAAAUCUUUUUGAAAUCUUUUUGAUAUCUUUUCGUAUUUCAUGUUAGCAUACCGGCUGUAUCAACUGUAGUUGACAUUCCAUCUGAAUGUCAACUACAGUUGGUACAGCCGGUAUGCUAACAUGAAAAAUUUCAUAUCUUAACACAAUCCACCCAUCUUUCAUAUUAGCAUACCAACCGAAGAUGAGUUGGCAUUUCAUGAUUCUUCCAUGAUCUACGGUUGGUAUGCUAAUAUAAAAUAUAAAAAGAUAUCAAAAAGAUUUCAUAUCUUAACAGGUUGUGCAAGAUCAUGGAAGAAUCAUGGAAUGCCAACUUAUUUACGGUUGGUAUGCUAAUACAAAAUACAAAAAGAUAUCAAAAAGAUUUUAUAUCUUGCGCAUCCUUGCGCGUGGACUGAGAGACACCAGGCGAACAGGUUAUCACGUGGGCCAGUGGCACCUUUUGUCUUCGAGGCCUCGGCCGAUUCUUCAUCGUUCCAGAUUCUUUGGUCGAUUGCCACGUGUUCUGGUGGAUCCGACGCUUCAGAAACUUCCGUUCUUUCUGCUUCCCUGGCUUCCUCUCCUCUAUAUUUUCUCCUCUCCUUUCUCCCUCUUCUCACUUUCUUCUUUCUCCUCCUCCAUACUUCUUCAAAACAAGAGUCAACUCAGAACCGCCUGGCAGCCACAAUCCAAGAUCUCUCUCUUCUCGCCCUCGACACCGUCAGGGCCGUUCGAUCCAUCGUCGUUACGGAUGAGCUUCAUUUACUUUUGCACAUCUAUUGUUUUCCGCCGAUCCCAAUGUCGAUCUCGUCCUCCACAUCCUCGCCGCCACGCCUUCCUUCCUCGUCAAGCAGCAUAUUUAUCUGAAAUCGAAAGCUGAAAACGUUUUCACCAACCAAAUGGCCCUGAGUCUGGUUCAAUAUUUUCCUGCGAAUGUGACAGGCUAAGAGCGCUUGUUUCUUUGAAGCGAGCGAGAGCGAGAGCCAAAGCAAAGGGAAGAGAUCGUUGACUUAGCUUCCGAUCGGGGAAGGCAAACCCGGGUCAGAGGCCGCCGAGCAUCUUUGAGAGCAAAGCCCACUCUGCUUCAGCUUUAAGCCCUUGAUUUUCUUAGCAGGACUCUCUCUCUCUCUCUCUCUCUCUCUCUCUCUUCCGAAGCUUGGCAUUCUAGAGUAGCACGUAUACCAUCAGCUCUUCUAAUGGCUGCUUCUUCGGAUGUGAAAAGGAAUUACCAUGUGUUCCUCAGUUUCAGAGGGACAGAUGUCCGCCACGGCUUCCUCAGUCAUCUCUAUGUGGCUCUGGACCAGAAAGGAAUAUACACUUUUGUGGAUAGCGAGGAGCUUAGGAAAGGAGAGGAAAUAUCGCCGACGCUCGUGAGGGUGAUCGAGGAAUCGCACAUCGCAAUCAUUGUCUUCUCUGAGAACUACGCCUCCUCACCGUGGUGUUUGGAAGAGCUCUUGAAAAUCAUGGAGUGCAAGGAGCAAAAUAACCUAAUGGUGUUCCCCGUGUUUUACAAAGUGGAACCGAGAGAAGUGAGAGGGGGGAGAGAGAGUUAUAAGAGAGCUAUGGACAACCAUGAGUCCAAGUUCGGGAAAGAGAAAGUGAAGAGAUGGAAGAAGGCUCUCUCUGAAGCCGGUAGCUUGUCUGGGUGGGAGUUGAAUGACAGGUACGCACAAAUGUGACAUGGUGUUAUGUCAUUGUUAGUUUGUGAUUGUCUGUUAGAUAUCAGAGUUCGAAGAUACAAAGUGGAGAUAAAUUAGACGGUGGACACAAAAGUCAAAUAACCAAAGCUAGUAGAUUUUUUGAAUUGAUUCUUGCUGUGUGGAUAAUGAGAUAUUUAUGUAACAUGUGUGAUUCAUAGUGCCCGAGUCAUUAUUGUCUUCAGAUUCAGGUUCUUUGUAAUUUUCCUUGCAUAGAUGUUGGCGCAGGUUCACCCACCUUUCAUCUUAUAUUGUGCUAAUCUUAUUAUGGAAUUUUACUUAUUUGAGAUGCUAAAACCUGUUUUUAUUUCUCUUGAAUGCUUAUCAGAAGUGAAGCGGAGCUCAUACAAUGCAUAUUAAAGGAAUUAUCAAUUCAUCUCAACCGAACGCCUUUACAUGUCGCUAAUUAUCCAGUCGGAGCAGAUUCCCAAGUUCAACAAAUUUUAUCGUUGUCAAAGAAAGAGUCAGAUGAUGAUGAUGUUCUCAUGAUAGGUUUAUGGGGGCCUGGAGGCAUAGGGAAGACAACAAUUGCCAAGGCCUUAUAUAAUGCUAUGGAGAGACAAUUUCAAGGUUGUAGUUUUUUGGAGCAAGUUAGAGAAAAAUCAAACCGAAGCGAUGGUCUUGCUACUUUACAAAAGGAUCUUCUAUCUGAGAUCCUGGUUCAUCCUUUAACGGUCUACAGUGUUGCUGGAGGAACUAGUUUGAUACAAGAAAGACUAUGUUGCAAGAAGGUUCUCCUGGUUCUUGAUGAUGUUGACCAUAUGAAUCAACUGAAUGCAUUAGCUGGAAAAGGCAAUUGGUUUGGAAAAGGAAGCAGAAUCAUUGUUACAACAAGAGAUAAACAAUUGCUGACUUCUCAUGACAUAAAUUGUGUGUAUGAAAUUCAAACUUUAGGAUACCAUGAAGCACAAGAUCUUUUUAGUCUGUGUGCUUUCCCAAAUAGCAAGAGUGUUGAAAUAAGAAGCGAUCUCAUAGAUAAAGCACUGCAUUAUGCCGACGGACUUCCAUUAGUCCUGGAAGUGUUGGGCUCAUUCUUACGUGGAAGAAAGGAACAUGCAUGGGAAAGUACAUUGCAUAAACUCGCCAAAACUCCUGAACCAACUAUCAAUCAAGUUCUCAAGAUAAGCUUCGAUGGAUUGGACGACAACGAGAAGGAGAUUUUCCUCGAUAUUGCUUGUUUCUUUAAGAGAAAAGAAAUGCAACACAUCGAGGAAGUUCUUGACAGCUGCGGUUUCAACACAACCAUAGGAAUGGAAAUUCUCAUCGAGAGGUCCUUGAUAAAAAAUGACAGGGGUUACCUUCAAAUGCAUGAUUUGGUUCAGUUGAUGGGUAUGAAUAUUGUUAAACAAGAAUCUCGUGAUGAUCCUGGGAAGUGUAGCAGAUUAUGGCUUUUGGAAGAUGUUGAGGACAUUUUUUAUCAUAAUACGAUAAAAGUUGUUUAUGUCAGUUUUGCUACAUUUCAGUUUAUAUUACUCUAAUUUGGACAGUAUAAUGUAAAUCUUAAAUGGAAAUUUUGUCUGACAACUGAAUUUGCUGUGUUAUGGAUAGGAGGCGGAUGCAGUAAAGGCCAUAGUACUGGAUUUGUCCCUACCAGAAGCGAUAAUCAUCAGUCCUGAUGCUUUCACAAAUAUGAAAAAGUUGAGAAUACUCAUUUUGCAUGGAGUGCAUAUCUCUUCACAAGCUCAAAUACGUCUCCCUAAUGAGCUAAGAUGGCUUGAAUGGCCCAAUGCCCCGAAUCUAGAAUUUGUCUCUAGUCCAAAUAAACUCAUGACACUCGAUGUCCCGUCAAGUCAUAUCAGGCAAUUAGGGGGCAACUCUCAGGUAAGCCCUUGUGAUGAUUAGUUUUUCCUUUUUAUAGCUAUAAAAAACAUUUGUAGAGCUUAAUGGCCGCACUAGUAUGUUUUUGCAGAAUUUUAGAAAGCUGAAGUCCAUCGAUUUCAGUGGAUGCAAGUCCUUGGUUAGUAUUCCCGACCUGUCAUCGGCUCCAAAUAUGGAGGAAUUGACUAUUGGUGGGUGUGAGAGCUUGGUGGAGGUUCACCCAUCCGUCGGAGAUCUUGUCAAGUUGAAAGUUUUGUCGGUAAUAUGUUGCUCUAAUCUUAUAAAUUUUCCUAACACGCUAAGGACUAAAUCUCUUCAAAUCCUUCAUCUCUUUCGUUGCUAUAAACUUGAGAAGUUCCCAGAUAUAGACGGAAAGAUGGAACAUUUGAAAGAACUUCGUCUAUUUGAUACGGCUAUUAAAGAACUCCCUUCAUCAAUUGAAAAUCUUGUCUCUGUGAAGUUGAUAGAUUUAUCAUAUUGCGAAAACCUCAUGAGGCUUCCGUCGCAAAUUUGUGAGUUGAAAAAUCUCGAGCACUUUUUAUCUUAUGGGCUGCUCGAAUUUAAUCACGUUUCCAAAAAACAUGGAGGAUUCAACUAAUCUCGAUGGCCGUCGGGGAUUCCGAAGACUAAUGCUCCUGACACUUCAAUGGUGCAAUCUAUCAGAAGUAGAGUUCCUUGAGAGUUUCUCCAGUUUUCCCGAAUUGCGGUCUCUAGAACUUGACUAUAACAAGUUUGCUGAUUUGCCAAGAUGCAUAAACAAGUACUAUCGUUUGAACUUCUUGGGUGUUAAAAGAUGCGAGCUACUACAAGAGAUUCCUCAGCUUCCACCAAAUGUCUCUACACUAUCAGCAGAUGGUUGCAAAUCUCUGCAAAAACUCCCAGACUUGGGUCAACUCUCCCACAUCAAACUGGUUCGCUUGUCUUCAUGUUGUGAAUUAUUCCGCAAAGGGGUCGAUAUGGAUGAUGUGGCUACAGCGUCAUUACUCGAGGUCUCUCUCUGUGUAUAUAUGUAUAUGUAUAUGUAUAUGUAUAUGUAUAUGUAUAUAACUUCAAAUGCUUGACAUGCGUACUUUCCAUGUGACAGAAACUGCCAAAGAUGAUAGGUCACGUCGACAUUUGCCUAAUUGGAAGAGAGAUGCCUAAAUGGAUUCUUCCCAGCGAAGAGGAUUCCAUAUCUUUCAUGAUUCCCCAGGAGUUGUACGGCGAGUUCAAAGGAGUAGCACUCUGUUUUGUUCUUGGUGCGGAGGAAGGAAAAGUGGUCAAUGCUACAUGUAUGGUCAGAACAUAUGUUAAUGGCUGGCCAGUGGGUGAAUGUUCGCAAAGUUUUUAUGAAAUGGAAACUGACCAUGUGUGGUUUCAUUAUUAUCCACAUUUUUUUCCACAUCUGCCAAAUGAUUGGAGCCAUUAUCAAGUUGGCCUCUGGGAAAACAAUCCAAGCAUAAAGAAGUGUGGAAUCCGUCCAAUAUGCAAUCAAAAGGACGAUGUUCUGAGGAUGGUGAUCCCAGCACCAUCAGCCGAUGGAAACAAAUUGGAGUUUUCAAUAGACUGCAUAAACGCAGAUGAUACAGAUAAAUUGUAUGCAGAGGCAAGCAAAAUACCUAUACCAAGAAGAAGAAGAGGGUCUUAACUACGGUGAGACUUUGAGUUCCAUUGUCUUUGCUUUUCCCUUUUCUGGGCCUUCACUAGAGAUUUGCAAGUGCCUGCUCCUUCAAUUAGAAUUCAAGAUCAUUAUCAAACAGGGGUUUCGCAUGAUUGAGGAACUUUUUUUUUUUUUUUUUUUUCCAUUGCUUCUCUAUGAUUUGUGAUCCAGAGUGUAUUAAACCAAAAAUUAAGAGGAUGCUUGUUAAAAUGGCCAUAGUCUUCCAAGUUGCUCCAUGUAAUUUAUCACAUAGGUCUCUCUCGCCUCUCUUAAUCCAAUUAAUGAUGUCAAUAUUUUGUACUUUAAAAUUCCGAGAUAGUAAGUUUUGCUCACUCUAGUAUAAUCUGUAUUAUAGUAAGUUUUGCUCAAUCUAGUAUAAUCUGUAUCUUUAGGAAAGUGUCAUUUGAAUUGUCUAAAAGAUCAAGAGGUCUACAGAGGGAAAAUUAGUUGAUUCCUCUGUUGUUGGUCGGCAGAUUGCAUUGGAUAGGUAUAAAGGGAUAGCGCUGGCUUCUAAGAAACUUUGCAUUUUGGCAAAGGAGGUUGACUUCAAGGAUUUUCAUAAAGCAAAUAGUACGUGGCAACCUUCUAAAAUAAGUAUUGCAAAGCAAUUUUUAGAAUGAGAAAAAAGAUUAAAAAGAGAGGACGAAGGAACUUGCAGGUACAUGUGAAAGCACAAGUGAGUGGCACAGCAGUAGGACCAAUGCCGACGUCGUGCGACCCUAGGCAACAUGCUGCUGAGGUCAACCAAACCUAGGGGACGCGACACCAGCGUUGUUUGACCCUAGGCGACACAACACUGAACGCCAAUGUCCCAUGACCUCAGUGGUGGAAUGUCGGAGCCAUAGGACUAGGCAAUGCGAAGCUCAACCUCCGCGAGCUAAAUCUAGCAUCAAGCAACCCUUGCAAAGCUUCUCGGAAUCAUGCAGCCCUCAACGAAGCUUUGCCGGUGUCCGUUAACCCAGCCUCCUUCAUGAAGCUUCCUAGCCAUGACCAACCAUGGCUUUCUCUGUCCUGUCCUAACCGAGGUUGAGGGACAAAACAUUAUUACAAAUAUAUUAAUGAUGGUAAGAUUGUAAGGAAAAAAAAAUUCAUUAAACUCCCGAACUUGCAUUCGGAAAAUACUAAAGCUCAAAGGUGAGACUUGCCUCGAGCUUCAAGCAUUUCAAAGUAGAACUUUUUGCUAGUCUUUGAAAUUGUGUUACCAAAUAUCAAAACUAAUUUUAAGAACUUUUCAAAGCCCAAAACAGCUUAAUUCAAGAUGACAGAGUACCCCAAUUUUUAAAGGCCAAAUUGGAUGGUAUUGAAAGGAGGGCAAAAUUGGAAUAGUGUAUCACUUUAGGGGUCCUUGUGAGUCAAAAAAUAAUUUUGAGUAAAUUAUUUAAGGGUGCCAAUUUAAGAUUUUCCGUGAAGUUAAUCUAAAUAAUAUCUAUGUAUUAUUUUGUUAUUCUUUUUUACAUUUUGAAGAGUUGAGUUUGAUUCAGUUGACAAGUGAAAUGCCAAGUAACAUGUUAAUAAUUUCCACCAAGAAUAUUAGUAAGUUCAUACUAGGAUUGUCUUUAUAUUCUUCAUUGGCUUACACCAAAGUUCAUUCUCUUCUCACUUUCUACUAUUAGUCACCCUUCAUCUAAGUCCAGUUGGCUUGAUAUCAUCUAUUUGAAAUGCAAAAUUCAAUAAACUAGAAAUGUUGUUGCCCAUCACUUUCUAAAGCCAAAUGUAAGAUUAUGAUAACCUCCAAAAAGGUGACCCAAUCACAUUAUUAGAGAAUACGAGAUAUCAAAUGCUCGUUACUAAACUAUUAAUUACAAUCAUUAAGGUUCGGAAUCAUGUACACCGAUAAUAUAUCUUUUCAACUCGAAUUAAAUCUACCACCCACGAUCAGAUUCCAAAAUUAUAGCAUCACCCCCUCCUUCUUGUCCUCCUUUUCCUCUCUCUCUAGAUAAAAAUAUGGAGAAGAGCUAUCAACACCAACGACCCUUUUUGAAAUGUACCAACCCAUUAAGAGUAUAUACUUCAUUUCACAUCUUAUUAUAAUUGGAGAAAUACUGCCUAUGGGAAACGAUUAAUACUCCUGGAAGUAAUAUGCCGAUUCUAUUUAGACAUCAAGUCAUCCCGUGUGAUGAACCUUUCCUAAUUCUUAUGAUUUAUAAUGUAUUAACAACGUUCAAGAGCAAAAUCAAAUGGAUGACUCCAACCUUUGCAAAGUAUGCAACCCAAAAUGUCAAGAAGCACGAAGCGAUGUUGGGCUACUACUCGAGCAAAAUCUUGGGCUGACCAGAAUUGAAACAGUCCCAGGUGAACUCCACCAAAUGGGCAACCAAGACUAAAAUGAUGGGCCGAUUGAAGAAUGGGCCAUCUUCAUACCUCAUAUCUAGAAUAAAUCGACAUUGGGUUGUCGACCUUCACAAGAUUAGAGAUCAUAUCAUCUCAUCAAUCAUAAAAUCCAUCCCCCAACUCCUCUCAAUUAAAAAUAAUGCGAUUGUUACUUACUAGUGGAAUCGAUGUUAAGAGAUUACUUGACCAAUUGAGAGCCAUCCAAUUCAACAUUUGAAUUAAAAACGAGAAAGAGCAACCAAAAAAAAAAAAAAAUCCUUCACAACACUUUCAAAGCAAUACUAAACUUUAUUUGAGGAAACUAUGAGAAAAUGACACCUGACUACUGCUGAAAAACCUAUUUAAAAUUAAUUUUUUGGGAAUAUCUUGGCCCAAAAAAUCCUUCUUAUAUUAAUUAACCUCCAUUUACUUGUAAAUUUUUUAUUGAAGAAAAAUGUCAAAAGUAGAGCGAUCUUGAUCUCGAAGCUCGCAUCAGCAAUAGCCACAUGGACGACUUCAAGCAUCCUCAAUUAUGUUAGGAUGGACCAGGCCUUGUUUGAGAAAAUGAAUUCAUGACAAUGUUUGUCAUUCCAUAAAUAUCGUCAAGGGGUCCAAACGAUCAAAAAAGUGGGGGAAAUUGAAAAAAAAAAAAAAGGAAGGGAAUUGCCUAUAUUUUCACUUUUGAUAUUUGCAAUUAGCUCCUAUAUUUUUAGUAUUUUAGUAUAUAAUCCUCUAAGUUAGUUUGUUUUUUCAUUGGUAAAUCUUUUUAUUAGAUUUAACAAGCUUAAUUCUCCAAAAUUUUGUUCCAUAACCAAUCUUCGACGAGCAUAGACAAAUUUUCACGACUAUCCAACGAAGCAGCAUCGACAAUUCCUACCAAAAAUGAGUGGACGCAAAAAUAAAUUGGCCAGAGCUAGGAAGAGAGCAAGAUCAAGCGGGAUAGAAUUAUCCUAAUGUUAUUGAUUUUUUUUUCACCUAAAAGAUAUUUUUAUUUUCUUCUUUGAUUUUGUGCUAAGUAAUUUAAUGGUCAAAUUUCACGUGUAAUUGACUUUUCUUUUCUCUUUUUUUAUCCAAUCAGUGUUCUCUCCGUGGCCGUUGAAUUCGGUUUAUUGUAAAAAAAAAAGCGGCACUUGAUUUCAACCGUCGAGUUGUCUCUGGAAAAAAAAAAAAAGGAAAAUGAUUAAAUCGUCUGACUACACGAGCCGUCCGAUUGUGUAUAUUUACAAGUGUAACCUUGGCUCUCCUGGAAAAGAGGGGAUUGUCGGAUUUUUCUUAAUUUUUGGUGUCCGUCGUCUCUCAAUUUUCCGAGCGCCUUAACCUAUUGAAAUGAAAUGUCUAUCAAAAAAAAAAAAAAAACCUGUUGAAAUGUAUUCAAGUUUUAAAUUUUAGUUUUCUAAUAUUACUUAAUGUACAAAAAAUGUUAACAUGUGGCAUUCUUUCUUCCUAUUUAGUGAGGUUAAAAAAAUAUUAUGCAAAAUAGAGUUUAUUAAUGCACGCCCAUAAUUCAUGGGUUUGUUAUUCUAUCACUACACUAAAUCCAGCCACAAAAUAAAAUUUAUUUUAAGUUAUUAAUGUCUGCUCACUUCAAGUAAUUUUACAAUGUUUUAUACCAAAUGAAGUAACUUUAGUAUGCUAAAAUGUCUCUUUAGUCUUUACCUACAAGGUUUACACUGGUUUCAUGUACAUUUAUUCUCUAUUAUAUUAUUUGUUUUUGGGGUUAGACAUUUUAACAUAUCACAAAGUCAAGUUCUAAACCAGUUUUAUUUUUUUCCACUCCUCGUUCGUUAAUUCCACAUCUUGUUCUCACGUUAAUUUUACACGCUAAUAAGCUUAUUAAAGAAUUACAUAUCACUUGUCUACGAAAUUUAUACGAGCCUUAUCAUCUCCCUAUGGAUCGCAAACAACAACAAAAAUAUAAUUUACUCCUUCAAGUGAAUGAUUACAGAAUACCAAUUGCUAAAAUUAAAAUGUCGAAGUUCACUGUAUGUGUCUUAAUUUUUUAAAUAACGAGUGAUUGACUUACACUUUACAAAAUGAACGUGAUGCAUUUUUACAUGUAAAAAAGAAAAAGUUUAACCUAGCUACGAAAGUGAGAUGAAAAAGAAAAUCAAAAUAAAUUGUUUAUCAAGCUCCUUUUGUUUUUUUUUUUUAGUUUAAAGUCUAAGUCUAGGUGGCAAGUACGCAAAGAUUGACAGGGUUGCGUUCUUUUAAAAUAAUAGUCCAGGAGGUACUUUGAGUAAUUAAAUGAUUAAUUCACACAACUGAUUUAGUAUUUGUUACAAAGUCACCGUUGACAAAAAAUUUUAGCGGUCAUGCCCAUUAUUGGCUUAUUGAUGAGGUCUUGUUGCUCAUGGAUAAGAUGAUUUGCAUGCAUUAAUAAGAUUUAGUCAAGUGAUGAUUCGUAUUCACUCUUGAAAAAAAUUAUACCGUAGAAAUAAUCUUAUUUAUUGUUAAAAAAAAAAUAAAAUUCCUGGAUGGGGGAGAGGGCUCUGUCGGCCCAACCUUCAAUGGCAAGUGGCCAACACGUGUAAAGAAAUGGGGUUGGAAAGAAAAACAAGAAAAAACUGCAAACGAAAGGCUGCAGUGCAAAUCCUACACGUUGUGAAAUAAAUUGUACGAAUGUGGGACAUGUACCGAUUCCCACCUUUUUAACGUGGUUUUACGUUACGGUUANNNNNNNNNNNNNNNNNNNNNNNNNNNNNNNNNNNNNNNNNNNNNNNNNNNNNNNNNNNNNNNNNNNNNNNNNNNNNNNNNNNNNNNNNNNNNNNNNNNNNNNNNNNNNNNNNNNNNNNNNNNNNNNNNNNNNNNNNNUAUAAUGGAAGGAAAAUAAAAAAAAAGUGACAUUCACACUUUUUUUUUUUUGGUACCCAGGGAACCUCCGUGUGCCGCUUCACAGCGGAGUAAACCCUGAGGUGACCUGGGCCCCCACCGCUGACCCAGAACCAUAGGUAAAUCGCACGUUAGCACUGAAGCAACGCGACCACGAAGUUUCGAACUCCUCCCCCAGCGGAUAGGGUACUAAGCACGAAGCCAACGCGGCCACCGCGGGCGGUGGUGACAUUCACACUUUUAUAUAUGGCAAUAUGCCAAUUGGAAAGAAGGUUUUUCAAUUUAUAAUAAGGAUUAAUUAGACAAUGCACAAACGAGUUCGGGUGAAACUUAAACAUGAAUGUAGCACACAAUAUUAAGCUCAAACUUGCUAAUACCCAAUUUGAUAGUCUCACAAGCCCAAUUAGGCUUAACUUACUUUUUGUCCAUUAUUUAAUAUAGUUAAGUGGAGUAAGUCAAAUUUGAAUAGUCCAAUUUUCUUUUUCAAGUUGAGUUUGAAUAAGAACUUUAGGCUUCGUUCAUUUUACGGAAAAUAACUUCUCGGAAAACGUUUUCCAAAAUAUAUUAAUAUAUACAUGUAUAUAUAGUGUUAAGACGUUUUUGUAUUUAAUUGCAAUGACACAUAAUAAUCUUAUACAAUACAUUUUAAUUAUCGUAGAAGUGCUCCUAAGAUACAAGUUUAUCAUAGAAGCAAAAUAAAAAAGUGACAUUCACACUUUUAUAUAUGGCAACUUGCCAAUUGGAUAGAAGGUUUUUCAAUUUAUAAUAAGGAUUAAUUAGACAAUGCAUAAACGAGUUCGAGUAAAACUUAAACAUGAACGUAGCACACAAUAUCAAGCUCAAACUCGCUAAUACCCAAUUUGAUAGUUUCCGGAGCCCAAUCAGGCUUAACUUACUUUUUGUCCAUUAUUUAAUAUAGUCAAGUGGAGUAAGUCAAAUUUGAAUAGUUUGAUUUUCUUUUUCAAGUUGAGUUUGAAAGAAUUUUAGGCUUUGUUCGUUUUACGGAAAAUAAUUUCGGGAAAAAUGUUUUCUGAAUUUUUCGGUAUUUGUUUCACAAAAAAUGAAUUGCUUAAGGAAAACAUUUUCCAUGAAGGGAAGAGAGUUUUCUAAACUAGGGGAAAAUGUUUUCCUCUUUUGAAAAGUGAAAAAUAUUUUCUUCAUUUGAUCUCUUUUAACUCACAUAUCUAUAGGCCUUCACUUCUUCCUCCUCUUCCUCCUUCUUUUUUAGUUUCCUUCUAAUUUGAAUUAUUUUUAAUUUUCUUUGUUUUCCCUCUUCUUCUUUAUUUUAAUAUUUUAAUUUUUUCUUUUUUUUCUUUUUUUAAAUUGAUUUUUUAAUUCCUUUUCUUUUUCUUCCCUUUUCUUUUUCUUCUUCCUUGGCCAAUCGCCGACCACGGCGGCGACCAAUAACCGGCCAUAGGCUAACUCCAGCCUCGCCCAAGGCCAGAUCUGGCGAGGGCAAGGCUCGAGGUCACUGAAUCUAGUGAGUCGCAAGCUCGCCAACCUUGGUGGAACUCAUCGGAUAGGGCGAGCCACAAGCUCGCAGCCCUUGAUGGAACUUGGGCUUGCUUGGAUUAGGUCAGCGAGCUUGUGGCUCGGCCAGUCUAGGAGAGCCCAAGCUCCGUUGAGGUUGAUAAGCUUGAGGCUUAGCCAAUCCAGGCAAGUCAUGUUCAUUGGUUGGCAAACUCGGGGAUCAUUUGGGCCUCGAGCUCGCUGAAUCUGGCGAUUGUGUCUUGGUCGACCACCAAGUAGCUGGCCACAUCGAGGCACACAGAGGUGGAGGAAGGAGGAGGAAGAAGGAGGGAGAAAAAGAAAAAAAGAGAAAGAAAAAUUAAAAAUAAUAAAAAAUAUAUUUUUAAAAAAUAAAAUAAUUAAAAAUUUAAUUUUUUAAAAAAAUAUGUAAAAAUUAAAAUUUAAUUUUUUUGGUCAAUUAAAAAUAUUUUUAAAAAUUAGUAAUUUUUUUUAAAAAAAAUCAAAUCAGAUAACGAACCAUAGAUAAUAUAUUUCACUCAAAUAUUAGGUUUCAACCAAAUACCAAAAAAUAUUGUUAUUUUCUUGGAAAAUGACUUUCUAAAAAAUAUUUUCCAAAAACGUGAUAUUGUUUGCGAAAUAAACAAACCCUUAAUACUUGAUUCAAUUCAAGUGAAGGUUUAAGCAUCAAGUUGUAUUAGCUCAACUCAAUUUGGAUUAUAUCUCCACAUUGAGACGAGAGACACCAGCUAAACAAGUUAUAGCAUGGGCCACCUAAGACCCUACCUUAAAAUGACGCGUCCGAUUACUCGAUCUCUUCCUAUAAAUUUCCGAUUGGAAAAAAAUUCAUUGGAUUACACGAAAAUGCGCACGAUGAUUUUCUGUUAGUGGCUUUGAUAAAUUGAUAGUACCUAUCCCCGGUUCCCGUACGAAGAAGGAAAAUAAAAAACAAAGUCGUUGCUCUCCCUGAUGGUGCGAGUGUCUUGGCUCACCGAGGGCACAAGUGUAAUUGCACGAGCGCCUAGCUUGGUCGGCUCAGGAUUUCGGCCUCUCGUGUAGGCCCCCUCCCCCAGAGACGAAUCACGGCCGUCGAUCAUACCCGGUCCGUGUGUCGGCACAUAGUGACCCGACACACGUGCGGAGUCUCAUUUACGUGCUUUCCCUCCCACCAGGCAACGACCCAUCCCUGUCUCUGUUGGACCUAGGGGUGAGCAUGGUCCGGGUUGGUCCGGGCCACCCCCUAACUCGAGAACCAACCCGUACAGUGUCGGUCCUCAAUUUUUAGGACCGAGGACCGACCCUAUUGAGCCUGGGACCAAGGACCGAACCGACCCAAUGGGUUCGGUCCAGUUCCAGGGUCAACCCGGGACCGAUCGAUAAUUUUUUUCGUCUUAUUUUUUAUACUUCCUAAAAAAGCAAACCUACAAAUUCAAAUUACACAUCCAUCAACAAUACGGUAUUGUGCAACUAAACUAUAAUAUACCAAUACAUAUUUAGCAAAUUUAAGAUGACACAAUAAUAGAAAUUUCGUAUCCACUAAUCGCUCAUUGAGAUAUGGGACAAGAUGGAAAGUUCUUGUAAUCAUCUAUCUUUAAUAUUUAUAACACCAUAUGCAAAAGCGUUUUCCUGAUCAUGUAGAGUCUACUCAACCAGAAAAUGAGCUUUACAUCACUUGACUAGCAUUUGAUCAUGUAAAGUCUACUUAACCAAAAAAUGAGCUUCACACCACUUGACUAGCAUUUGAUCAUGUAGAGUCUACUUAACCAAAAAAUGAGCUUCACACCACUUGAUUAGCAAAUCAUCAUAGCAACUGCAGUACUACUCUACUCUUCAAAAACUUCUACCAUUUGACACAAAUUGAAAAGCAAAAUGCAGCUGAAAUUCAUUAGUAAAAUACAAUUAAAUCAUAAAAAGUUCAAAAUACUUAAUAUAAACCAUGAAUAUAUAACUUCACAUCUUGUUAAUUCACUUGAACUUCUAAACACUUGAAAACAAAACAAACGACACAUAAUUAAUACUUAAAAAAAGUUUUAAAUUGAAAUUACUAUUAGUGUUAUUGAUAGAACAUCUCAAUAUAAUAUAAUAUAAUAGACAUUUUACUUGGGUUUGAAUAUAUAAAAGAAUUAUAAAUAAUAUAAUACAAUAUACAGGGUUGGUCCAGGGUUGGACCGACCCAAAACUCUUAAGACCGAGGACCAACCCGCACAGUGUUGGUCCUGGAAUUUCAGGACCAAGGACCGACCCAGUCCCCUUGGGAACCGGACCAGGACUGGCAGGGUUGGGCUGGUCCAGGGUCGGUCUAAGGUCGACCCUAAACCGCUGCUCGCCCCUAGUUGGACCCCACUACAUAUCCCCAUCCCUGGGCCAUGGCCCCCACCAUACGCUUAUCCCGAAUCUAAUCUCAGCCCGUUUCCAAUUUGUUAUUAAAAAGAAAUUGAGCAUAAAUGAAAAUAAAAAGGGAAAAUGACACUGCGGUUUCUGAAAUUUAGCCCAACAAAUAAUGAUGUCCCUGAACUUUCAAUUUGUUCAAUAUGAUCCUUAAAAUUUAUAUGCAACCUAGUUCUAUACGAAAAUGUUCAAACUUGAAUUAUUGAGACGAUAGCUAGGGGUGAUUGAUUUCAGGGUAGGUAAGUUCUAAAGUUGGAAUAUGAAUUCUACCUUAUUAUAACCGGUUUCUAUUUUUUGGACCCUGGAACCUAUCAUGUUCUCUAUUUUUCCGAUCUAGUUCGAGGGUUCACUCGAGAAUUUGUUUUAUCUUUUUUUUUUUUCCUUUUUUUUUACUGCAAAAUCAUAUGGGAUUAUGAGUAACGAAAUGAUUUAAAGUAAAAGAUGAAUAACCAAAAUCCUAAUAUACCAAAAACAACAAUUUGAAUACAUAGUCAAGUACAAUUAUAAACAAUAAAAAAGUUCAAACGCGUAAUACAAAACAUAAAUUCCCCAUUCAUCCAUAAAAAUUAAAUGAAAAUGAAAGACUAGCAAAAAGUUUCUAAAAAGGACAAAAGACGAAAGGGUGCUCAGGUUAAAAUUUAGGAAUAAAAACAAUUAGAAUUUAAGCUUUUUAACUUAUAAAAUAGAUUCCAAAGUAGAGUGAAAUCGGUGGAUCUUUACUUGAAACCUAUUCCUAGAACUAUUUCAAGGAGAAUCGAUUCUUAGACAUAUUUUUUUCAAAAGUUGGAUCCAAUUUCUAAGUAGAAUCGGUUUAGUUGCACAGCCCUAAUAACAACAUUAAGCAUCUUCAUAUAACACAGGAACUAACUUGAAUAUGUACUAAAAUUUUAAGGAUCAUAUUAAAUAAAUUAAAAAUUCAAGGACUGCAUUAUAAAUUAAGUCAAAAUUCAAAGACUAUUUAUGUCAUUAUCCAAAAUUGAUAUCAAUAUCCAUUUAAAAAUUUUAAAAGAGCAAUUUGCUUUUAAGUUAGCAAUUUUUUUUAAUAUUAUCAAAGCACUAUUAAUAACCGGAAAGUCCGCCACCACAGAAACAUUAUCGCUAUCUCCCCCUAUCUUAAAGUCUCAAAGCUCAAAAGGAAAAAAAAUAUUAACAGCGCUCAGAGCUUCUCACUCGAUAAACCCUCGCGGCUGCUUUCGUCUUCCGAGUCCUUGGCCGAUUCAUCAUCGUUCCAGAUUCGUCGGUCGAUCACGUCGAUCUCGCCCUCCAAACCCUGAGAGCGCUUGUUUCUUUGAAGCGAGCGAGAGCCAGAGCCGGGGCAUAGGGAAGAGAUCCUCGACUUCACUGCCGAUCGGGGAAGGGCAACCCCAGGUCAGAGGCCGCCCAGCAUCUCCGAGAGCAAAGCCCACUCUGCUUCUGCUUUAAGCCCUUGAUUUUCUUAGCAAGAAUCUUUCUCUCUCUCUCUCUCUCUGUUCCGAAGCUUGGCAUUCUAGUGAAGCACAUGUACCAUCAGCUCUUCUAACGGUUGCUUCUUCGAAUAUGAAAAGGAAUUACCAUGUGUUCCUCAGUUUCAGAGGGACAGAUGUCCGCCAAGGCUUCCUCAGUCAUCUCUACGCGGCUCUGGACCAGAAAGGAAUAUAUACUUUUGUGGAUAGCGAGGAGCUUAGGAAAGGAGAGGAAAUAUCUCAUGAGGGCGAUUGAGGAAUCGCACGUUGCGAUCAUCGUUUUCUCUGAGCACUACGCUUCCUCACGGUGGUGUUUGGAAGAGCUCUUGAAAAUCAUGGAGUGCAAGGACAAAAAUGGCCUGAAGGUGUUCCCUGUGUUUUACAAGGUGGAACCCAGAGAAGUGAGAGAGGGGAGAGAGAGUUAUAAGAGAGCUAUGGAUAACCAUGAGUCCAAGUUCGGGAAGGAUUCAGAGAAAGUGAAGAGAUGGAAGAAGGCUCUCUCUGAAGCCAGUAGCUUGUCUGGGUGGGAGUUGACUGACAGGUACGCACAAAUGUGACAAUGGUGUUUUGUGAUUAUUAGCUCGUGAUUGUCUGCUAGAUAUCAGAUCAUAUGCACUUUUUUGGAUCUUCAAUUGAAGAUACAAAGUGGAGAUAAAUUAGACAGUAGACACAUGAUCAAAUAACCAAAGCUCGUAGAUUCUUUGAAUUGAUUCUUGCUGUGUGGAUAAUGAGAAAUUUAUCAAACAUAAAUAGUGCGAUUCAUAGUGCCUUAGUCAUUAUUGUCUUCAGAUUCAAGUUCUUUGUAAUUUUCCUCGCGUAGAUGUUGGCGCAGGUUCACCCACUUUUCAUCUUAUUAUUUACUAUUCUUCUUAUGAAAUUUUCCUUAUCACGUCGGAGGUUGAAUUCCUGCUAUGGCUUUGAAAUGCUAAAACGGGUUUUUUCUAUCUUUUGAGUACUUAUUAGAGAUGAAGCAGAUCUCAUACAAUGCAUCGCGAAGGAAUUAUCGAUUCGUCUCAACCAAACACCCUUACAUGUCGCUAAGUAUCCGGUUGGAAUAGAUUAUCAAGUUCAAAAACUGAUAUGUUUGUCACAGAAAGAGUCGACUGAUGAUGAUGUUCUGAUGAUAGGUCUAUGGGGACCUGGAGGCAUAGGGAAGACAGCAAUUGCCAAGGCCCUAUAUAAUGCUAUGAUGAGACAAUUUCGGGUUUGUAGUUUUUUGGAGCAAGUUAGAGAAAAAUCACACCAAAGCGGUGGUCUUGUUUCUUUACAAAAAGAUCUUCUAUCUGAGAUCCUCGUUCAUCCUUUAACGGUCUACAGUGUCGCUGGAGGAAUUAGUUUGAUACAAGAAAGACUAUGUUGCAAGAAGGUUCUCCUGGUUCUUGAUGAUGUUGACCAUAUGAAUCAACUGAAUGCAUUAGCUGGAAAAGGCAAUUGGUUUGGAAAAGGAAGUAUAAUCAUUGUUACAACAAGAAAUAAACAAUUGCUGACUUCUCAUGGCAUAAAUCGUGUGCAUAGAAUUCAAACUUUAGGAUGUUGUGAAGCACGAGACCUUUUUUGUCUGCAUGCUUUCCCAGACAAUGAGAGUGUUGAAGUAGGAGUGGAUCUCAUAGAUAGAGCACUGCAUUAUUGUGACGGCCUUCCGUUAGCCCUCGAAGUCUUGGGCUCAUUCUUAUGUGGAAGAAACGAAGCUGCAUGGGAAAGUGCAUUGCAUAAACUUUCCAAAAGUCCUGACCAAAUUAUUAAUCAAGUUCUCAAGACAAGCUUUGAUGGAUUGGAGAACAAUGAGAGGGAGAUUUUCCUCGAUAUUGCUUGUUUCUUUAAGGGAAAGGGAAUAGAAUACAUCAAGGAAGUUCUUGAUGACUCUGGUUUUAACACAACCAUAGGAAUAGAAAUUCUCAUCGAGAGGUCCUUGAUAAAAAAUGAGUAUGGAACCCUGCAAAUGCAUGAUUUGAUUCAGUUGAUGGGUAAGGAUAUUGUUAAUGAGGAAUGGCCUGAUAAUCCUGGGAAACGCAGCAGAUUAUGGCUUUUCGAAAAUGUUGAGGAAGUUCUCUAUGAAGAUACAGUAAAAGUUGUUCAUGUCCAUUUUGCAACAUCUCAGUUAUUUACUUUGCUCUGAUUUGGAUUGUAAUAUGUAAAUUUCAAUUGAAAAUUUUGUCUGACGAUUGAAUUUGCUCUGUUAUGGAUAGGUAAUGGAUGCAGUAAAGGCCAUAGUAUUGAACUUGGCCACACCAAAAGAGAUGACCAUUAGUCCUUGUGCUUUCAAAAAAAUGAAAAGGUUGAGAAUGCUCAUCUUGCACAAAGUGCAUAUCUCUUCACAAGGUCCUGUACGCCUCCCUAAUGCGCUAAGAUGGCUUGAAUGGCCCAAUGCCCUGCAUCUAGAAUUUGGCCCUGGUCCAAAGAAACUGGCAAGACUCCGUUUUCAGAACAGUCAUAUCAAACAAUUAGUAGGCAACUGUCAGGUAAGCCCUUAUGAUGAUCAGCUUUCCCUUUUCAAAGCUAUGAAAAUAUUUCAGAGCUUAAUGACUGCACCAGUAUGUUUUUGCAGAAUUUUAUAUGUUUGAAGUCCAUUGAGUUCCGGGAUUGCAAGUCCCUGGCUAGUAUUCCUGACAUUUCAUCGGCUCCACUUCUGGAGAGCUUAGAUCUUUUCAGUUGCAAAAGCUUGGUAGAGGUUCACCAAUCCGUCGGAGAUCUUGACAAGUUGAAACAUUUGAAUAUAUCAAGUUGCUCCAAUCUUCGGAUCUUUCCAAACACACUCAAGACAAAGUCUCUUCAAUGGCUUGAUUUCUCUGGUUGCUCUAAACUUGAGAAAUGCCCUGAUAUUCUGGAAAAGAUGGAACACCUAAUAUAUUUUUUUCUAAAAGGGACAGCUAUUAAAGAACUCCCUGCAUCAAUUGAAAAUCUCGUCUCUAUAGAGCAGAUAGAUUUAGGUUGUUGCAAUAACCUCACAAGGCUUCCAUCGAGCAUUCAUAAGUUGAAAAAUCUCANNNNNNNNNNNNNNNNNNNNNNNNNNNNNNNNNNNNNNNNNNNNNNNNNNNNNNNNNNNNNNNNNNNNNNNNNNNNNNNNNNNNNNNNNNNNNNNNNNNNUUGAUCCUGAUGACGAUUUGGGAUUCCCAAGUUUAAGGUGGCUAGACCUCUCUCACUGCAAUCUAUCAAAAGCAGAGUUUCUUGAGAAUGCUUCCAGUUGUCCUGUAUUGACGUGCCUAAAUCUUACAAAUAACAAAUUUACUCAUCUUCCUACAUGCAUCAACAAGUAUGAUUAUUGGAAAGACUUGUUUGUUUAUAGCUGCAAGCAAAGCAAAGGGGUCAGUGUGGCUGAUGCAUCAUCACCCAAGGUCUCUCUCUCUCUCUCUCUCUCUCUCUCUCUCUCUCUCUCUCUCUCUCUCUCUCAUUUUGAAUGUUUGAUACGUGUACUAUCUGUAUGACAGGAAGUUGAGAUUCUUGUAAAUGGAAGAGAGAUGCCUGAAUGGAUUCUCCAUUGUAAAGAGGACAGCAUAUCUUUCAUGGUUCCCCCAGACUUAUGUGACAAGAUCUUGGGACUAGCAAUCUGUGUUGUUCUUCGCCAGAAUAAGAAAGGCUCAUUCGACGAUUCGUCCUGUUCAUUUGACAUCAGCUUGUUUGUAAAUGGCAUAAGAUCGUAUUACCGUUUGAUAUUUUUUGAUCCAUUGGAAUCCGAUCAUGUGAGUCUUGUUUAUUUCCCAAGCAACAGAAAGAUAGAAGAGAAGCCUCUGCAAAACGAUUGGAGCCAUAUCCAAGUUUGCCUCAGGGCACUGGAAGGAACCAUAAAGAAGCGUGGAUUCCGUCUAAUAUGCGAGCAACAGGAGGAUGAUCUGAGGGUCUGUUUUCCAACACCAUCGGCAGAUGGAAACAGAUUGGAGUUUCAAGGAAAGAUACUCAAAGGAAGACAAUUAUCAAUAGACACCGAGGAAGAAGAUAGGCCACUGGAACAGAACUCCACAAAGAAGAUGAGACGGUCUUAGCAAUGGCGAGAGUAUGGGUUGAACUCGCACCAACUGUUGAGGUAGCGAUUCUUGGGGAUGCGAACCGGUGAUCUUGAUUUCAAUGCCUCUUGCUUUUCCCUUUUUUUCUCGUCUCUACUAAAAAUUUGCAAUUGUCUGCUCCUUCAAUUAGUCGCGUAGUGCUACUGACAUGGUUGAGGAACUUUUCAUUUCCCUCUCGAUCUCUAUGAUCUGUGAUGCAAGAGUGCACCAAUCCAAUAUCAAGUGGAAUGCUUGCUGAAUGGCCAUUGUCUUCCAAGUUCAGUGAGAUAUAUCACGUAGAACUCUUGUCACCUCUCUUAAUCAAAUUAAUGAUGCCGAUGCUUCAUAUCCUAGAAUUCUUAGAUAGUAAAGCUUUACUUCUCGAGGAAAGUGUUGAUCUAAUUGUCUCAAAAAUCGAAAGGUUUACACGGGAAUGAUUAGUUGAUUCCUUUGCUGUUCCUAGGCAGAUUGCGUUGGAUAGAUACCAAGGGAGAGAUCUAGCUUCUGAGGCUUUGCGGAUAAGCAAAGGGUACUGACUUAAAAGAUUUUCAUGAAAAGCGAAUGGUGUUUAACAAACGCCUUGUAAAAUAUUUAUUACAGAACAAUUUUUAGUAUAAAGAAAAAAAAAUAGAGAAGGAACUUGCAGUUGUAUAUGAAAGCACAAGCGGGGGCGACGCAAAAGUUGGACUGGUGCUGACAUUGUGCAACCCUAGGCAAGGCACCUCUAAAGUUGAGCAAACCCGUCGAUGCGACAUUGAGCUACACUGAAACUAAGCAACACAAUACUAGUGUCACGCAACCCCAAGUAAUAGAAUGCCGGGGCCACACUACUAGGCAAUGCGACGCUUGACAACCUUGGCAAGCUAGAUCUGACAUCAAGUGACCCUCGCAAAGCUCCUCAAUGUUGCGUGACCCUCGACAAAGCUUUGCUGAUGUCUUUCAACCCUCUACAAAGCUGCACCUGCAUCCCUCGGUCCCUCUUCUAAGCUUCCCGGCCAUGAUCAAACACAUCUUUGUCUCUCUUAUCCAAGGUUGAGGGGUAAAAUAUGAUUGCAAAUGUAUUAGUGAUGGUAAGAUUGGAAGAAAAAAACUUUAUUAAACCCCUAAACUUGCAUUUCAAGAAUGCUAGAGCCCAUACUCGGAGGCUUACCUUGAACUUUGAGCGUUUUCAAAGCAAAACUUUGGAUCAAAAUCUUUGAAAUUGUGUUAUCAUACAUCAAAUCUUUAGCUCAAGGCCCCUUGAAGGUCCAAAAUAGCUUAAUUCAAGAUGACUGAGCACUCAAAUUUUUAACAGCAAAAUUGGACGGGAUUGAAACAAAGGGUAAAAUUGAAAUACCGGUACCAAUUAAGGGGUUUUUAUGAGUCCAAUUUUUUUUUUAAAGUAAAUAUUUUUGAGUAGUACCAAUUGAAGAUAUUUUUUUAUAUUAAUCCUAGUAACAUAUAUGUAUUAUUUCCUUUCUUUUUCCCCUUUUCAGUAGUCAAGUCCCAUUUCAUUGGGCAAGUGAAAUGCCAAGUGGCAUUUUGAUAAUUUCCUCUCAGAAUCUUGGUAAGUCAAGUUCCUACUAGUAUUGCCUUUGUAUUCUUCAUUGGCUUUCACUAAAGUUCAUUCUCCUUAUACUUUCCCUCCCAUCAGUUGCCCUUGGUUUUAGUCUUGGUGGUCCCAAGUUGUCCAUUCUUAAAUGCAUAAUUCAAUAAAGUAGAAAUGAUAUCGCCAAUCACUUUCUAAAGGCAAGAAUUGGUAAGAAUAGACGAUUACUGUAGUCUCCGCACAAGCAACAUAAUCACAUCACGAGUGAAUAUGAGAUGUCAAAUGCUCAUUACUAUACUAUCACUUACAAUCAUUAAGGAUCUAAGAUUAUACAAAUUGUGAUGUCUUAUGUCUUUUUUGAAUAUCUAAUUUUUUGAAUUGUAACACGUGUUCAUCUCACAUAUAUUUACCACAAAUGAUCAAAUUUCAAAAUCAUAUGGCAUCACCAUCUUCUUUCCUCCCCUCCUCCCCCUCCUCUUUCCUUCCCUCUCUCUCUCUCUCUCUCUCUCUCUCUCUCUCUCUCUCUCUCUCUCUCUCUCUCUAACACAAGUACAAGCACAAAAUAAUUUAUACUACCAAAGAAUAGGAAAGAACUACCAACGCUAGUGGCUCUUUUUGAGGUGUAACCCCAUAAAAGAGAAUGUACUUAAUAAACAUUGACUCUUUUCGAAUCUUAUUUUAUGGGAGCAACACCACCGAGAGAAAAUAAUUAAUAAAAACCGAAGUAACAUAAAGAUUUUAUUUAGACAUCCAAUCAUUCCGUUUUUUAUGAGCCUUUCCUAGUUCUUGUAACUUAUUUUGCAUUAACAACGUUCAAGAACAAAUUCAAAAGGAUGAGCAAUGUUGGGCAACUACUCGAGCAAAAUCUUGGGCCGACCAGAAUUGAAACAGUCUCAGGUCAACGCCACCAAAUGGGCAACCAAGACUGAAAUGAUGGGCUGAUCCUCUAGCAGGACUGGAGAAUGGGCCAUCUUCACUCCUCAAAUCUAAAAUAAAUUGACAUUUGGUUAUCCACCUUACCAAGAUUAGAGAUCAUAAUUCAACAAAAAAUUCAACCCCCAACUCCUCUCAAGUAAAAAUAAUGCGAUAGUUACUUACUAGUGGAAUCAAUGUUAGGACAUCACUUGACCAAUUGAGAGUUGUUGCAUUCAACAUUUGAAUGAAAAACCACAAACAGCAACAACAACAACAACAACAACAAAAAUCCCCUUUUCACAACACUUUCAAAGCAGUAUUGAACUUUAUUUGAGGAAACUAUUAGAAAUUGGCACCCAACUACUGCUGAAAAACCUAUUUGAAAUUAAUUUUUGGGAAAUAUCUUGGCCAAAAAAAUCCUUCUUAAAUUAAUUAACUUCUAUCAACUAGUAAAUUUUAAUUGAAGACAAAUGUCAAAAGUGGAGAGGUAAUGAUCUUGAAUCUUACAUCAAUGAUAGUGACAUCGACGACUUCAGCAUCCCUCAAGGGGUCCAGAGAUCUAAGAAGUAGGGAAAAAUGAAAAGAGAAAGAAUUGCGUAUUUUUUCACUUUGAUAGUUGCAAUUAGCUCCUAUAUUUUACUAAGAAGUAGGGAAAAAUGAAAAAGAAGAAAGAAAUUGCGUAUUUUUCACUUUUGAUCAUUGCAAUUAGCUCCUAUAUUUUUAGUUUUUUAGUGUAUAAUCCUCUUAGUUUUUUUUUUCAUUGGUGACAAUAUGAUUUUUUUCAUUAGAUUUAACAAGCUUGAUGCUCAAAAUUUUGUUCCAAAACUGAUCUUCAAUAAGCGUAGGCAAAUCUUUGCGACAAUAUGACUAAGUAGCANNNNNNNNNNNNNNNNNNNNNNNNNNNNNNNNNNNNNNNNNNNNNNNNNNNNNNNNNNNNNNNNNNNNNNNNNNNNNNNNNNNNNNNNNNNNNNNNNNNNNNNNNNNNNNNNNNNNNNNNNNNNNNNNNNNNNNNNNNNNNNNNNNNNNNNNNNNNNNNNNNNNNNNNNNNNNNNNNNNNNNNNNNNNNNNNNNNNNNNNNNNNNNNNNNNNNNNNNNNNNNNNNNNNNNNNNNNNNNNNNNNNNNNNNNNNNNNNNNNNNNNNNNNNNNNNNNNNNNNNNNNNNNNNNNNNNNNNNNNNNNNNNNNNNNNNNNNNNNNNNNNNNNNNNNNNNNNNNNNNNNNUAUUUACGAGUGUAACCUUGGCUAUCCUGGAAAAGAGGGGAUGUCGGAAUUUUCUUAAUUUUUGGUGUCCAUCGUCUCUUAACUUUCCAAACUCCUUAACCUGUUGCAUGCCAUUCAGGUUUUAUAUUUUAGUUUUCUAAUAUUAGUUAAUGUACAAAAAAUGUUAACCCGUGGCAUUCUUUCUUCCUAUUUGGUGAGGUUAAAAAAAUCUCAUGCAAAAUAGAGUUUAUUAAUGUACACUUGUAAUUCAUGGGUGUUGGGAAUAACGGAUUCCCGAAAACCGGAUUCGACACUGAAUCGAACCCCUAAAUCAAUGCGGAAGACGAGGCCCAGGAAAAUCACGUAUCACCGAUCGUAAAGCACACCACGGAUUCGAGCGUACCUUGUUAGCCACAGAUUAGACACCAACGCCGAUAGAGGAAGAGAAACUAGGCCUUGUUCAAUCCGAGGAGGCAAAAUCCUUCAAGCGCUUCACUGGUUUCGCUUUAAAGAAAAACGAGAGAGAGAGAGAGAGAGUACGUAGAGAGAAAGCGUACGUCUUUUUCUAAAAACAAAACGGUGCCUUUUUCUCUCUCUCUCUCCUCCCUUUUAUACCUCUCCCCUUUCAUGGGCCCUAUUCCCGUGGGUCGAGCUUUAUGGGCCCAACUUGGGCGGACGGGCCUUAAGCCCAUCUCGUAUAAAACCAUCAUCUCCCACUGGCACAUGGUGGGCCGAACAUGAUUCUCUUUACCUCUCUUCAACAUUCAUACCGGUGAAUAAUCCGUGCGACCAGCAUACUUUGAGAGCUCGUUGCUAUACAUCUGUUAGGAAUAUAUAGCAACUCAUAAUGAGCGUCACACUCCGAGUAGAUUUAGUAUGCAAUACCCUAGAUCGAUCGAUCACAUUUUAUAUCUCUUUUGAUCUCUUUUAAACAUGAUAUAUAUAUUGUAUUCACAAUUAUAAUUAUCACAAAGACAGUCAUAAUUGGUCGACCAGUGAAUACAAAACUAUAAUGUGAUUCUCCAAAAUCGAUCUUCCUCUUUCCUUCAAAUUCUCAAUUUCAGUUCAGCUUGCUUUUCUAGAAAUGCCCCAUUAGAUCGAAUCAUCUCAUGACUAUUGGCAACACCCUAAGAUAGCAAACACUAAAUAGAAAUCUUGAGAAUAAGUAAGAGUCAUGAGGGGACUAAAAAUUGAGGAACUCUUUUCCUUAAGAGUCUCACACAUCAUAAAAGUUGAGAUCAAACUUUUUGCCACUCUUAUUGGUCGUCUCAUGCAUAUGUAGUAUGAAAUACGUAUUACGGUAUUAACUCCUUUCCCAUGGAGCGUAUGUCUACACCUUUCAAUACCGUACAGAUGAUAGUUCAGACAUACCCAAUGUCUAACUUGAGUUCACGUAUCUACUCAUUUACAAAAUUCAUCAGAACUCACAUCUGGCAUCUUAGACAGAUAAAGUAAAAUAUGUGGGGUAUUUUACUUUCGGACAUAGUAAGUAUUAUGUCCUCAUCUUAACACUCAGUUAAGGCAAUAUACGUAUUUUAAGCUUGAGCUCUCGAUUAUCACCUAGAUAAUAAGCUUAAAAACAGUCUCAUCUCUAUUUAUCACAUAGUAAAUAGAGGCGAUUACCUGUGUGAGUGGGCUAAUCUUAUAUCUGUCCGACAUACUUUCUCAAAAUAAUGCACUUAGCAUUAAGAUACAUAAAGAUCAAACAAAGAAUCAUAGGCAUUAAUGAUGAAAACACAAAUUCAUCAAAUGUGAACACUUAGGGAAAUUACAAUAUUUAGUACAUCAGCCUCUACACAAUCCUAGAGAUUUCAUAUAGCCACAAAACACAUCUCUAGGUAUUGGGUUUGUCAUAGGAUCUGCUACCAUUUUAUGCGUAAUAUAUACUCUAGGUUCACAUCUUUUCGUGCAACCAUAUCCAUAACAAAAUUAUACUUGGUAUCUAUAGGUUUGGUCUUGUCAUGAUAUUUUGGAUUUUUGGUGUACGCUUUUGUUGCUUGGCUACCACAGUUAACCAACAAUGAAUUUGCAGCACUUCCAAUAACACCUAAAUGAUCCAAAAAAUCUCUUAAGCCAAACACCUUUUUAUACUGCUGCUGAUAAUGUCACGAACUCAACUUUUAUCGUGGACAAGGCUAUACAUUUUUGUUUCUUACUGCUCCAACAUAUGAUGCCAUUAUUCGGUAAGAAAACAAACCCAGAGGUAGAUUUUCUUUCAUCUAAAUCUCCUCCCCAAUCAGUAUCAGAAUAGCCUUUGAAUUGCAGAUCCUUUCCUUAAUAACUCAGCGUAUAAUCAGCAGUUCCCUUUAAAUACCUUAGUAUUCUUUUAACGGCUUUCCAACCUGCUUGACCUGGGUUGGAUUGGGUAUCUACUCACCAUUCCAACUGCAUAACAUAUGUCANNNNNNNNNNNNNNNNNNNNNNNNNNNNNNNNNNNNNNNNNNNNNNNNNNNNNNNNNNNNNNNNNNNNNNNNNNNNNNNNNNNNNNNNNNNNNNNNNNNNNNNNNNNNNNNNNNNNNNCCUUUGCAUAGGAGUGUCUAUGGGUUUACAAUCUUGCAUACGAAAUCGUUCAAGAACCUUAUUUAUAUAGAUUUCUUGCGAAAGAGAUAACGAUCUCUUCGAACGAUCUCUUGAAAUCUUAACUCCAAGAAUGUAUGCAGCCUCACCCAUAUCCUUCAUCUCAAAGUUAGAAGACAACCAACUCUUGACAGUAUUAACAAACUCUCUAUUGCUUCCAGCAAUUAGUAUAUCAUCAACAUAAAAUGAUAUGAUCACAAAUUGAUCCUUGGAUCUUUUGAUAUAUACAUAAUGAUCCUCAUCAAUCAUUGUAAAAUCAUAUGCCAUUAUGGCAUUAUGAAAACAUAUAUACCAUUGUCUUGAUGACUGCUUGAGGCCAUAUAUCGAUCCCCAAAAUCGACAUACUUUUUCUUCUUGGCCUUUCACUAUGAAACCAACAGGUUGUUCCAUAUAUAUUCUUCCUCUAAUUCUCCAUUGAGGAAAGCAGUCUUUACAUCCAUUUGAUGUAACUCAAGAUCCAGACUAGCCACUAUUGCUAGAAUAAUGUGAAUCGAGGUAAAUCUCACUACAGGAGAAAAUGUAUCUUCAUAAUCAAUUCCUUUCUGUUGAUUAUACCCCUUUGCCACAAGGCGGGCCUUAUGCAUUUUUAUCGAGCCAUCAGCCUUUCGCUUUAUUUUGAGAACCCACUUGUUCCCAAUAGCUCUGCAUCCCUUUUGGAAGAUAAACCAGUUCCUAGACUUGGUUUGACUUCAUUGACUCCAUCUCCUCUUUCAUUGCAUAAAUCCAUUUUUCCUUACUAGGGCAUUUCAGAGCCUCAUUAAUAUUUCUUGGCUCAUCCUUAUCUCGUGGAGCAAUUAUAAAAGUUUCCCUUUCAAUGUCCAAAUGUCGACGAGGAAUACUUUGGCGACUUGUUCGCCGUAUGAAAGAUUGUACACUUAGCACAUCAUUCCCCAUCAUGUUCCCACUCGGAUUAGAUAAUGAUGAUGUCGUCUCAUCAUGUGGUUGCAAUUGAGAAUGAGUUGAAUUAAAUUCAUCACUUUUCAUAUUACUCCUACUUGGACGAACUCCACUAAUAUCAUUAUCUUGAUUCAAGGUUUCAAAUAGGGAGUAAUCCUCACCUAUUUCGCCCUUCUUAAGAAAUUCAUCCUCUAAGAAUGUGACAUCCCGUGAUUCAAAUUCAGUUAUACUCCCACUUUCCUGCUCACCUAUGAACAUAUACCCUUUCGAGUGUUCGAAGUAUCUCAUUAAAAUACUCUUCUUUCUUUUGGGACCCAAUUUCCCAAACUUGUGAGAGGACUCAUAAGUAUAGGCAGCACAACCCCAUGACUUAAGAAAAUUUAAAUCCGGUUUUCUACCUAUCCAUAACUCAUUUGGAGUGGAAGUAACUGAUUUGAAAGGCACCCGGUUAAGUAUAUAGGCUGCAGUUAACAACGCAUCACUUCAAAAAGUAAUUGGUAAGUUAGCAUGCGCCAUCAUGGACCUAACCAUUUCUAGUAGGGUAUAUGGAAUAGAGAAGUAUAUGGAAUAGAUAACUAUCUUUCUAUUCCUUUUUCAUCACGUAAUUUUCUGAACUCAUCAGAUAAAUAUUCUCGACCUCGAUCGAAUCUAAAUAUUUUUAUUUUAUUGUCUAAUUGAUUUUCAACCAAUUUCACAAACCUUUUGAAACAACAUAAUGCUUCAAAUUUAUGAGAAAUCAAAUAGACAAUAUCCGAAUCGAGUAUAAUCAUCUAUAAAAGUGAUGAAGUAAACAGCCCCAUGCCUUCCUCUCACAUUCAUUGAACCACAGAUGUCAGAAUGGAUUAAAUGCAGAAGAAAUUCAGCUCUUUUACCUUUUUUAAAUGGUUUCCUUGUUGUUUUCCCUACUAGGCAAUGCUCAUAUAUGGACAAAUCGACUUUUUCAAUGUUGCCCAACAAGCCCUCUAUGGCUAGUCUAUUCAUAUGUUGUUGGCCAAUAUGACCAAGUUUAGCAUGCCACACACUCACAUCAUUAUCAUGUAAAGUAGGAGACGUGAGAAGGGAAUAACAAAUAUUGACAUCACCACAGUCAACAUAUAGUACAAUAAAACCAUCCAGAAGGUAACCACGACCAUAGUAGUUUGUAUCCAAAUACAAAUCUACACUUCUAUUAUGGAAGUUCAUACUAAAACCAAGCGUAACCAACACCAAAACAGAUACAAAAUUUCGACGAAUCUCCAGAGCAUAUAGAACAUUAAGGUGCGUCCACCACUCAUGUUCAAUUGGCAGGUGCCAAUUCCUUUACUUCAGCUCUGGAGUUGUUUCCCAUAUGGAUCCACUUAGUUCCAGUUGGUACUUGUCGAAAUUCCACGAAGGAUUCUCUAUCCUUCCCUUCAUGGUCUGUCGCUUCUGAAUCUACAGUCCACAAAGGAUUGGAUUCAGCCAAUAAUACAGAACUUGACACAUAAGCAAAUUUCUCAAAUGUACAAGAGGUGUUUACUUUUUUUUUUUUGGCUCACAACAGUUGCGAACAUAGUGACCUCUCUUGUCACAAUUGUAACACCUCACCCUUGACAUCUUCUUCACUUGAGGACGUUUUCCUCUCUUGUGUUGGUUAACUCUUGAUUUCUUGCAAUAAGGACUUGAUCCUUUGCAUUCCCACAUAUUGAACGAAUUAAUACGCUUGCGCUUAGAGCUCAAAACCCUUUCUGAGCUAGAACCAGCAUUACAAAUGUCCGUUUUCGGCUCAAAUGCCGUUAGGCGGUCCUCUACUAACUCAAGGUAGCGCAUGGCAUCCUCAAGAUCUUCCAUAACAUGGUCAAGAGCUUCUAGUGCUUCUUGCUUUUCCAGCACAUAUUGAAUCUUUAUAUUCAAUAUUUCACAAUUGUCACCGUUCAUAUCAGCAAUUACGUUCUUAGUUGCUGAAAUCAUCGAUCUAAACACAUCAGACAUACAUGCACGAAUAAUUAAUGCCUAUCAUUUAUGCAUCCAUUUUGCACAGACCCAUCAUAUUAAUAAACAAUUUCAAGUAAGGUUUCAGAAUCAAAAGGUCACUACGUUUCCAAUCAUCCUCCAAAAAUCCUAACUUAAAACUAUCAUUAAUAUGAUUGUCAUAUGCAAAAUCAAUUUAUUAUUAAUAUAAUUGUCUUAUGCAAAAAUAAAUUCUAUGAAGUUAUAAAAACUUCUAUAACUACCCACAGCUAACUACCCACAGUAAUCAGAAAUAACAGAAAGCAAAUAAUAAUUGACAUCCAAUAAAUUAAUAAUGCUUUCACAUAAUACAACUAACAUAUCGGUUGCUACAUCAACAACAAUCAGGUAGUAAACAAUACAUAAUAUGUCCACAAAGCACACUUAACAAAAAAUCAGCCAAUACAUUUAAGAAAAUUGAAGGCACAUUUGCCAACCAUGGAAAAAACUUUUGGAGAGCUUUCAUGUCGCCACCAAGGCGCAUUCACUCUGCGCCAUGUGGCGCUCAAUCUAAGGGUUGAAGUUUUGGUUAACUCAAUCCUAUAGUACUCUCUUACAAAAGUUUCCAUUAGCCUCCUAUAACCCGAGACCACGUUGACCUCCCAUAGACGAUCUAACACUGCUUGCCAUUUAGCUAGAAGAGUGUUCAUCAAAGCCGGCACUUUCUCAAAAUUCGGCAUAAGAUAACCAUUGUAGCUGAUUUCCUGUAUCAUCUGUUUGACCCUGACCACAUGUGAUACUAAAUCACCGUCAUACCACCGAUAAUUAGCUAAAUCUGACAUCAGCCUUUUAAGUCUUGCAUUUCCCUCGUCCAUUCUCGGGAUUGCAGGUAUCCGUGCAAAACGCAUCAUAGUUCCUGCAACAAAUGCAGAACUAAAAAUGGAUUACUUAUAAUCCAUAAUGUACAAAAGGAAAAAUACAUAAUUUUCCAUAAUUCAUGUAACAAAUGCAGAAUUAAAAAAUGGAUUACUUAUAACCCACAUAGGCAUGACUGAAAAAGAAACAAAUUCCUUUUCUUCUUUUUUUUUUCGGGUCAACAGUCAACGGUCAAAGUCAACGGUCAACGGUCACGGUCGUCGGUCGUCGGUCAACGGUCAACGGUUCAUAGGGUCGGGUCGACGGGUGCGCGGGUUGGACCAGUUGGACCGGUCAGACCAAUCGGACCGACCGGCCGGUCGGACGAACCAAUCGGCACGUGUCACGCGCGUGCGUGGGCUGACGUCACGCAGAUGUCACUUGCACGUGCCGCAGGCGUGAGCAGUUUGACGUCACGCAGACGUCAGCCGAUACGUGCGCGGCAUGCGCCAGCUGGUCGGGUCGGGUCGCUUUCGAGUCGGGUCGGGUCGGGUCGAGUCGCCGGCCGGUGACCGCCCGGCCAACGGUCGUCAGCGAUGACGUCAUCGGUGACGUCAUCCCAGCGGUUAUCGACUGUUGGGUGAUGUCACGGUGACGUCAUCACGCGUUGGUUCGCCAACCGGCGCGUGCCGGUUUGCUGGUCGCCGACAUGCACGUGCCGGUUCGCCGCCGGCGCAUGUGGCGCACGCGCUGGCCAAUGCCAGCGCUUCGGGCGCGUCGCGCCCACGCGCAGCGCCUUCUGGCCGCGCGUGUGGUCGCGUGUGGUGUCGUCCGGCGGCGCACGACAUGUUGCCGGACUCGUCUCGACGACCUCUUUCUCCCUAUGCCAUCAGAAUUCGAUUUCGACUUACGAAAACUCGGAAAAAUGGCCGAACAACGCUCGGGUGUCGGGAUUUCUUGCCCCAAUCCGUAUGGCCGAAUUACUUUCACGAAAAAUCAAUCAAAAAACAUCAAAUUGAUCGGGAAAACGUGAAUUAGGGCUCUAAUACCAAUGUUGGGAAUAACGGAUCCCCGAAAACCGGAUUCGACACUGAAUCGAACCCCUAAAUCAAUGCGGAAGACGAGGCCCGGGAAAAUCACGUAUCACCGAUCGUAAAGCACACCACGGAUUCGAGCGUACCUUGUUAGCCACAGAUUAGACACCAACGCCGAUAGAGGAAGAAAAACUAGGCCCUGUUCAAUCCGAGGAGGCAAAAUCCUUCGAGCGCUUCACUGGUUUCGCUUUAAAGAAAAACAAGAGAGAGAGAGUACGUAGAGAGAAAGCAUACGUUUUUUUCUAAAAAUAAAACGGUGCCUUUUUCUCUCUCUCUCCUCCCUUUUAUACCUCUCCCCUUCCACGGGCCCUAUUCCCGUGGGUCGGGCUUUAUGGGCCCAACUUGGGCGGACGAGCCUUAAGCCCAUCUCAUAUAAAACCAUCAAUGGGUUUGUUAUUCUAUCACUAUACUAAAUCCAGCCACAAAAUGCAAUUUAUUUUAAGUUAUUAAUGUCUGCUCACUUCAAGUGAUUUUACAAUGUUUUAUACCAAAUGAAGUAUCUUUAGUAUGCUAAAAUGUCUCUUUAUCUAUAGGGUUUACACGGGCUUCAUAUACAUGUGUUCUCUAUCAGUAUAAUGCUUUUUGUUUUUGGGGUGGGACAUUUUAACAUGAUCACAAAGUCAAGUUCGAAACCAGUUGUUUUUUUGCACUCCUCAUAUACAUGUGUUCUGAUAAUAUUUCCAGAUGAUGUCAUUUGGAUCUCACAGGAUUCGGUUUUUUUGCCUGGUAAGUUCUAUGUGUGACAAAAAAUAAGGUACGAAUUAUUCUCUCCAUAUUUAUUUAUUUAGAAAUUUAUUUUCGAUUAUCCCUUGAAAAUCGGAUUCCUAUUCAAAUUUUUUCGGAAACCGCUUAUUGAAAAAUCGUGCCUUUUCGGUUUCCCUUAUUCAGUUUCCAAAAAUUUGCUAUUUAUAUUUUUACAUCUUUUCCAAGAAGUAAUCCUCAUUCCCUUAAACCACUUUUCUUCCUCUUCGAAACCCUUAUUCUUCGAAACGUCUCCUUCAUCCUCUCAAAGAUCGAAACUUUUUCUCUCAAAACAUCCAUGGCCCCAAAAUCUGCCCAAGGAACAAAAUCUAGACCCUCUGCUUCAUGAAGAUCUAGACAUAUAGCAGGAGUGGCAUCGGGAGCGAUGGGGACCAUCGAGCAUUUUGAACUGUCAGAUUCUUCCAACAAUGUCAAUGGUACUACAAGCGAGGCUCCUGUAACCUCUAAGAGCGAUUCUUCGGCUGAGUGGAGAAAGUUGAAAGAGGCCAUUGCAUCGCUCCGAAGCCUAGGAAACAACAAAGAGAUAAUAUCUACCCUCUUGGCUACAAAUGGGUUUGACAAUGAGGAGGCUCUAGACUUAAUGGUUGCAAAUCCUAUUCGUAUUAUAUCAUACGUAGUAGUCGAAAUUGUUGUGACCCGACCUCACCACCACCCGGCCCUCAUAAAAAGAGGAAUGGGGAAAGGUCGGACUUAGAGGUACUCGAUCACGAAAGUUCCCUCAAAGUUCUUAUUCACAAAAAGCGUCAUCACCUCACCUUUCGGACAAACCUCUUGUGAGUUUACUUGAUCAUGGUCGUGAGCUCUUUCAAGCUCGUACCUCGCAUGACAGCGGAAGGUUUCCUGACCUUAGGCUGACGUCAUGGCAUGUCUUGAUCGACGGUUUUAAGUUUGAAGGGAAACUGGAAGUAAAAGUAAGUUUGAGGGUAUUUUACAAUCAUGAUAGCCCUCUUAAGAUGCACAUCUAUUAAAGAUGGCAUCACUUGAUCUUUAUCAACUUCAUCAUCUUGGUAUGCUAAAUCACGGCCGUGAACCUUUUCCAAAGGUCCAUACCCCUCAUGACAAGUUUAAUUAUACAAUUUAGUUGUUUAAGACAACCUAGAUAUAGGACAUAAGUUGCCACUAGCCUCAUUUUUUAGGGUCGGCUAGAAAACACAAUCGAGGGUCGAGAGUGGUCUCUCGAUUCCUAUGCAAUCAGAUAUCUAGGUUCAGGAACUUAUGCUAAUAUUUCUAUUAGUGCCCUUUCAAUACCCAACAAUAUGUCGUGUUACUUAAGGUGUCCAUGCAUUUUUAUUUACUUUUUCGGGAUCGUUUUAUCCUAAGCUAGACAAUCAUGCGUGGAUAAUCAUUGUUAUGUCCUUCUAUUUUUAAGAAGGAUAAAAGAAAACAAUCAAUUGAAUUGAGAGUACGAAACAAUAAGUAAACAAUCAAAGAAAGUGAUAAACCAACUAUGGUGUAUUCAUAAUAAGGAUGGAAAUAAAAAAGGGAGUAAGCAAAAAGGAAAUACCUGCAAUUCAUUGGGUGUUUAUACAAACAAGGGGAACCCGAAACAUAUGUCGAGGAAAAUAAAUACAAAAGAGUGAUCGGAAUGGACAUCGACCUUCCAUUGUCUUCAUCUUCAGGAUCCUAAUCUAAACCUAGUCUAAGAAUUAUAGCUAGGUAAAUACAAUGUAAAGAAACGGCCAUGCAAGUCAAAGCAAUCAUAAACAUGAUACAAAAACAAUAUCAAACAAUUCAACAAAAUAAGAUUUAUCAAAUAAGUUUGAGCCUCAGGGGUAGCCUUUGGAAACAUGCGUAGGCCCAUCUAGAUACCUACCUAGUUCGUUUUAUGAUUUAAAGCUAUCAUUGACUAAUUACAUUUCUGCAUGGCUAAUAAUGCUUAUAAGUCCCUAAUUAAAGAAUUCUAUGUGAUCCUCGGGAUUUCCCAUCAGUAUCAUACAUUGUCCUUAACAUGCAUCUAGAAUUCACAUACAGGCAUGAAUUAAACACACACACAUUGUUGACACCUAUUUUUGAACAACAAAAAAAAACCAAAAAAAAAAAAAAAAUUAAUUAAAAAAAAAACAAAAAAACAAAACAAAAACAAAAACAAAAAAAAAACAAAAUGUUUAGGGGUCGGGUUGGACUGGAUCCAGCCUUGGCCCGGCCCGCCCCUCUUCCUUUUUCCUUUCCCCCGUGUAGCUCAGCCUCCUGGUCUCAUCCUCUGCACAUGAGGGGGAAAAAGAAAAGCAGCAAGGGCACAGGGGAAGCGGGGAGGGUGAGACGUAGAGAGAGAGCGGGAGAAGAGAGAGAUCUCGAGAAAGGAGAGACCUCGAGGGAGAGAGAGGAAAAUUUGGGGGGGGGGGGGGGGAGGGCGAUGGCGGUCGAGGAGAAAGGAGGCCUCGUUGCCUCAACUCGAUGCCCCGUGGCUAUUGGAGCCCUCCUCUGCCGAGCACCACUAUUCCGAGCCCUCUACUUGAGCGACCACCAGCUACCCGCUCAAGUACCGCCAUUGCUGCCGUGCUCCCUUCUGCCCAAACUCACGACGCCAGCAGCCCGAGCCGGUCGCUGAGCCCCCUCGCCGCACGACCUGCAACACUUGUCGUCAUUGUCGCCGACCACCACCGCUCCUAGUCCCCUCGCCAAAGAUGCCGCUCGAGCUCGAAAACCACGGCGACGUCCCUGACGAAGAAGUCCCGAUGCUGUUUCUAAGCGACCCACCACGAGUUCCACUGCGCAUGGCUAUUGUUACCUCGUUGAGGCACGUCGUAGACCACUACCGUGCUACCGUCCUCAACAAAGCCCUCGCCGUGCUAGCCUGUGACUCGCUUGCCACUUGCCCGACGCCAUCUGAGCCGCACCUCCGCCCUUCCCCGCAGCUGCCCAUCGCCAUACCGUCACCCAUCGUGUCGUUGAUGUUGUCCACACUACUGUUGCUCAUCGCGUCGCCGCCGCCAAGUCACCGUCAUCCCCAACCAUCCCUCAUUAACGCUACGAAGGAGUAGGGGAGAGAAGAGGCAGAAUCGGGUAGGGUUUGGUCUUCGAAGCAGGUUGGGCGCGGGUCACAAAACGGGUAGGGUUUUUGAGCAAUUCGAGCCGGGUUUGGGCUGUUUUUGCAUGUGGGCUUUAUUUAAAAAAAAAAAAUAGACCAGAUUAGGCCUGCACAUCAGGCCCAGCCUGGUAGGUUUUUGUCGGCUUGGAUCGCGCAGCUCGGUUUAGUCUGGGCUUGGGUCGUUUGGCCUGAUCCGGUCCGGGCUCGGGCUAUCUAGCCCAAGCCCGAGGUUCUGACCCAGGUUGUUUUAAAUAUAUUAUAAUAUUGUAUUAUAAUAUUAUAAUAAUAUUUUUAAAAAUUAAAAAAAUUCGAAAAUUAAAAAAAUGUAGGUUUGGUUGGAAAUUGCCAUGUUAUACCUAGUAUAAUUAGGCCUUUAUUUGCUUAUACAUUGAUUAUGUCGUGGGUUUAAUUUACAUGUUCAAUUAUGUUGGCAAUUGUUUAGUUGCUUACGUUAUUUCCAUUGCAAUUAGGAGCUUGGUUGUUAAUUGUCACUUUAAUGAUUGUGUACUCGUAUGAUCACCUCACAUAUUAGUGGAUAAGUGUAAAAUCAAUCCAAACUGCCUGAAAAAAAAAAUCUUUUCUUUUAAAAUGAACAAGAUUAAGUUUUGAAAGAGCACUAAAAGAUCAAUUAGUGUAAUCAAGUCUCUGAUCCUAAAUUCUCUGGUUGUGUAGGAAGUAAGGUAUACUAACAUGCUUCACUUGGUUUCUAGCCGACCCCAAUAAGCUAGUAGCGACUCCUUUUUCGAAAAUUCUUAAAAAUACCCCAAUGUCACACGAGAUAUGGGUUUGGGAGAGCCCGCGUCUAAUGAUGGGCCUUAGCUCUAUCUUUUGGUUUAUACCCCUAAACCUAUUCCCUCCCCCGAGGGGUAAGUCGUGACACACAUGCCUUUUGGGCCUUAUUUCCCAAUCAAUCAAACAAGAUGAGUGAACCGUUAGCAGGUCAUUUAUUGCCAAGGCACGUGCCAAUCAUGAACACAAGCAUUUCUAUCAAAUGGCGUGAUUAUAUGGUACAUGUGACGUCUCAAAAAUGGAUUCGAAAUCAUUAAAAAGAUUUUUGAGACAAUAUGAUGUCUCGGUUAUGAAACACAUUUAAUUACCAAACCUACCUAGGGUUUGCAUAAAUGUACUCACAAGCAUCGUAGGUAUUUUGAAUACAAUCCAAACUGUGACUUUCACCAUGUCAAAUCAAAGCUUGAAAAGAUUUGAAUUCAUUUUGGACUAAGGAAUAUCUAGGCUAUGAAACGCAUUUAAUUGCCAAGACUAACCCAAGACUUGCAUAAAUGCACUCACAAGGGUGAUAGAAAUUUAAAACACACUCCAAACCAUGAUUUUUCCUAAGUCAAAUCGAUUGUUGAAAGAAUUUCUAAAAUGUUGCUUUUUGAAACAUCACAUGUACCAAAGCGAUUUCGAGAUACAAUUUGAAAAGUCCAUUCAUUGAAAACCAUUUUGACAACGACGAUCAGGGGAUUUGCAACAUAUUCCAUGAAGAUGAUAUGCCCUAAUAUCAUAGACAAACUAACCUAAAGAUUUACUAAACAAUCACAACAACAAAUUCAUAUCAGAAAAUUUCAAACCAAGCACAGCAAAUCAACAAAAUUGGAAAGUAUCCAUCGAUAAUCUAACUAUAAGAAAAUUUCCUAACAUGCAAAACAUGAUAGAGAACAACUUUCAUGAAGGAAGCAAAAAGAGCUAAGCAUGAUUUUCUAAAAAUCAGAAAGCAAGUAACAAUGCAUCAAGAAGUUGUCAAAACAGCAGAACAUUCAGUCAUUACUACUAAGAUUUAAUCUACCAAAUGAAGUCUAAAAAUCACAAAAUUUUCAAUAAAAACAUAGCAAACAUGAUAAUAAACAAACUUUAUUAAGGGACCAAGUCCAGAAUCCUUAUAAAAGAAAUGGUACAAAAAUAGAAAAAGUCUAUCUAAAUAGGGGUAAAAACAAGUGUCCGAAUUUGAUCCUUUAGUCCAAAUUCUAGCCUAGCUUAGAAACAUAGGAAAUAGACCUAACGAUAAGUAAUUUGCACGAAAUCAACGAUAUUUGAAAGUUCUAGGUGUGCUUUACAACUUCCCAGAAGGGCCCGCUUCCAAUCAAGGUUAACUUGGUAUUCUAACACAAUGGUCUCUAAAAGCGUGCAUAUCAGCUUUUAAAAACCAGAAUAUAGACAUGCAUUAUUGAACCUCAAAAUCAUUCAUGUAAUGCACAAAUGGCAUGAAAAAAUCACAUACGGCUUAGAAUCAGAUGUGACAAGCAAUUUGGAUAAUCAUCUAACCUUAAGUCGACAUGCAAAAACAUCAUACAUUCAAUGCCAACACAAGAUUAUUUAGGAUUUAUAAUGUCAUGCUUGAAAGUUUUUAAGUGUAAUAGGCAUUGUUGUGACAUGAUUUUCACAUGCGAAAUGGUGUUCAACCAUGAUGAACCACAUACGCACACAAAGCUUGCUAUAUGUAGUUCUAAUAUCAAGAAGGCGCUAACGUGAAAUUUGGUCUCUAAGAGACCCAAUCAAGCAUACAAAAGUACGCACAUGAUAAGGUUUCAAUCCUAUAACAAGAGCAGAGAGCAUUCAUAAUUUUGAUCACUUAAAGGUAUGCAUAAAUCCAACGAAAAACGUGUCAUAUAAAAUGAAAGAUGACGGACAUUUUUUGUUAAGAACUCAAAAGCCAAUUUUGACCACACGGAUGAUGACGAAAAUGGCAAAACUGAUGCGCGCUCUUAACUUUCAAAUUGCAGCAGGACCUAUAUGCGUUUAAACAUGAAAUCGACGUAUCAAAUGGCAAUAAAAUCAUGCGAAUCAUGCAUCAUUGUAACACAUACGUCAUGUAUAUGAAGUUCAAUGAAGAUCCUAAGAUUGAAAGUCUCAUCUAUAUGCCUAUUUUCAUCAAAAUGCAACUCGAAAUGGUGCGGGGCAGCUUAACCUUGGCUUAGAUCUAAGAGGUUUUGACCCAUUAAAACACAUUCGAAAAUUCUGAAAAAAAAAAAUAGCAGGACAUUCUCAAGACAAAGAGGAACAAGUUUCAUGAACGAAACUUUGUCCAGAAAUCAUCACGGAAAGCAAGACAAGACACUAAGUCGGACCAAAAACAGAAACUAAAAAAAAAAAAAAAAAUCUACAGAAAUCAAGCAGAUUGUAACGUGCUUUUUGGGGGGUCAAACGUCCCCAAUCAGGCUGUACGACCUACUGAUUCGAAACUCAAGCCAAAAUAAGGCUGUUUAAGACCUGGUUUUAGUCAAAACAGCAAGCCAGUUUCAGAAACAUGAAAAUCAUAGAUUAGUGCCAAAAUCAUUCAAUCAACAAUGAACUUGCAUUCAAUCUAUCUUGAAGAUAAACAUAUAAUCUUCAGAUCUAAAGCUUUUUAUUGAUCUAAUAGUGAAUCCUAGUGUCGAUUGGAUAAUCCAACCUAAUAGUGAANNNNNNNNNNNNNNNNNNNNNNNNNNNNNNNNNNNNNNNNNNNNNNNNNNNNNNNNNNNNNNNNNNNNNNNNNNNNNNNNNNNNNNNNNNNNNNNNNNNNNNNNNNNNNNNNNNNNNNNNNNNNNNNNNNNNNNNNNNNNNNNNNNNNNNNNNNNNNNNNNNUUUCUAUUUAUAUUUUUACAUCUUCUCUAAGAAGUACUCCUCAUUCUCUUAAACCACUUUUCUUUCUCUUCAAAACCCUUACUCUUCGAACCAAUUGAUCGUCACUGGAGCAUGAAUGGAACUUUGAGAUCACGAUCCGACCGCCACAAGACGCCAUGAGUUCGGAUAAGCCACCAGUUUGGCCUAUGAAGUAGCAUUGUUCCAAACUUGGACCGGUUUGAGAUCGCGGGGGAAAGAGUGGAUUGCCGGAAGAGAUCCGAGCAGGUGUUGGCCAAGUUCCGACCGUCCAGAGUUUAGAGACAGCGUGAGUAGUAGAUCGGUGACAGUUGUUGGCUUGAGGAAUGGCUAGCGAUUGCCGGUUUAGCCGAUCCAAGACCCGACCGAUUCUGGACAACUGUGGUUUCAGUAGCCACUGGAGAUGAUCUGGGGGCUCUUCAAUCAGUUUCCGACUUAUAGAUGGUCGGAGACUCACCUAGGAUUCAAUUGGAAGUGGCUGAGGGUGUUGAGGGUGUUGGAGACGGCUGCCGGUCUCCCAUGGAGGAAAAAAUCCACCGUUGGUUCAAAGGCAAUUUGACCACCAAAAUAGGAAGUUGUUCCGGAGGGGAAAGACGAGGUCAGAGAGGCCGUCGACUGGGGCCUAAAUCGGCAGCGAUUGGCUCACCAAAGAGAGAGAGAGAGAGAGAGAGAGAAAAAUGCAGAAAUGAGCCCCCCUUUCAAAAAAUUGAAGGGAAAAGUCUAUUUAUACCACCUCAAAUCGGUCAAUCUCGACCAUCAAUUCGAUCCGACGGUCGAAAUCGUAAUGCAACAGGCAAAACUUGAUUUCGAAAGUGUUGACUCUUGAAUCGGAUUGCCAGACCCUCAUUGAGACGCUGAAGGGUUAGCGCCCGCCGCCAUGGGUAGAACGCAGCCUCUUCUCCGAAGCUGCCUUCCUGCCCGCCGCCAUGGGUAGAACGCAGCCUCUUCUCCGAAGCUGCCUUCCUGCUUUCGUCUUUUCCCAAUAUUUCCCUAGCCUUCUGUCAUCGUGAGGCGAAUGUUGCUGCUGACUGGGCCGCGAAGGCCCAUAGGGUAAAUUCCAAGCGAAGUAAUUGAGCUAUCUUUCCCCCUCCCCCUCUAUUAGAACUUGUUUACGCUGAUGCGAUUACUGCUGGUUGUAAUCGGUUUGGUCCUUCUAUAUAAUAUUUAUUGUUUUGACAAAAAAAAAAAUUAUGAUCUAGAGAUGUCAAGUAAUUGAUCUAAUGGGUUCGAUUCGCAAAACCAAAGUCAAAAUCAAGAAUUGUGUUAGAAUGUCUAUUUAGGGGUCAAAAUGCAAGUUUACUAAAUUUGAAGGCCAAUCUUCAAAAUCUUGGGCAACUAAAGAUGCAGAAGUAAAAUUGACACAAUGAGGACCUUAGGACUAGUUGCCGGAGGUCAAGAAUUGACCGAUAAGGGGUCGGACAAGCUUGCCUCGCCAGUAGCCGAUUGGACCGGUCAAAUUGGUUUGCAUCAGUUUGACUAGUUCUUGAUCGGUCUGGUUUGGUUCUAAUUGAUUCACCCGUUUGUAGUCCUUGUGGGUUUAAAAUUCAUGCAAUCAAGGAUCAAAUUGAAGAGAAAACUUACACGAUUGAAGGAAAAUUGCCCAAUUUCAAUUCAAUUAAGCCAAUUAAGCUUUAUAAAUGUGAUCUAUGGAUUAUCUAUUAACCUAAUUGAGUAAUUAUUGUGAAAAUAACGAGCUAAAACCAUGGAUACUUAAGAUUGACCCUAAAAGCCUAAAAUGCACAAAUUUGCAAUUCAAUGGCCAAAAUUGCAAAUUAAUGGAAAUUAGAUUCAAUUUGUGUUGUAAUUGCCCUAUCCAACUAAUUAGCCAUGUGUAAGAUCACCUAGAGUAUUCAAAUUGACUUUGAAUUGAGAUACCAAAACUAAAUCGGGUCUAAUAUUAAAAUUGGACUUAGAUUCAUACAAUUGGGCCUUAGUUUAGAAUGGGUCAGUUCGAAUAUCUUCAAUUGGAGCUCGAUGGUUCAGUUUUCUUACUUUUAAGAGAGAGAAAUCCCUUAAAUUGGAAAGUUCUAAUGCAAAUUUCUCAAAAAGGACUUUGGAUUUGGACUUAUGUUAAGAAAACAAGUGGAAAAUAAUUGUCCGUUUGUAGAUCAUAAAGAAUCAAUUUUUAUCCCCUAAUUACGGCGUAAAAUAAACAUUUAUCUUUUGACACGGUAAUUCACGAAAUUGAACACAUGAGCGGAUUUAGAAUAAUCUCUAAACCAAAUUUCAAAGAAGGAACUACACCUAAUUACGGCCCAAAAUAGAAGUAAAUUUAUUUUUGGUCGAUUUAGAACCAAAAAUCGAAAUAAUUAGAAAACAAGGUUCUUGAUCAAUUUUGUGAAAUUUUCGAUACUAAAGUAAAAUUGAAACGAAAAGAAAUGUUUUUGUGGAUUUUUUGAUAUUUUGAGUUUGAUUUUUUUGUCAAAGAUUUGACCAAAAGUCAACCAUUUAGUUGAUUUUUCCUCAAAGUUGAUUUUUGAGCCAAAUCUUUGGAUUUUUAAAAAAUUGACUUGAGAAAAGUGAAAUUGGCAUCUCUUUUGGUAAAAAGCCAAUUUUUUUACUCGGGGUUAAUUUUUUAUCAAAGGGUUGACUACAAAAAAGUCAACUCGGAAAUCAACCGUUUAACUUUUCAAGUUUUCCUUGAAAAUGAGCUGAAAAUUGUUUACAAUUAGCCAUGUGUAAGAUCACCUAGAGUAUUUAAAUUGACUUUGAAUUGAGAUACCAAAACUAAAUCAGGUCUAAUAUUAAUGCAACAAAAAGAAAUGAAAAACAACAUUUUUUAGUUGAGAAAUGAGCUCUGUUGCGAUCAAAAUCCCGAAUCUUGAUUUCUACCUUUUCUUUUUUACACAUCAACUAAAAAUCAGGUAUCAACAUGAACCUCUAGUGGAGUAAGCUCUUUUGCUAAGAAGGGGAAAGAAAAAAUGGCAGAAACCCCUAUGUCUAGAAAGAAGGGAAAAUCAUCUAAGGCUAGAGGUGUGGAUCUAGAUUAUGGUAGGAAAGGCGAUAAUGAUGAGAAAUUGUUCAUGAACUUCAAAAAAAAAAAAACUCGUUGGAUAUGUUGCUGCUAGAAUUUAGGGUUGGAAAGCUGAUAAAAUCUACUUGACAUAUGAAUUAUUUGCAAAGUUUGAUAAGAAUAGUAGUCAUGAAUCACAAGGUUGUUGAGUUUGAAUUUUUUGAAUCAUUUGGGAUUCAGAUUAAGCACAUUUUUAACAAACUUUUGAUGACUGAUCCGUAUAUUAACAAUUUUCCAAACUAUCCCUCUUUAACAACAUAUUUUUACCCAAGUCUGUCGUUUUACGCACUUGACAUUAUUGAGUUCACUAUUUUUGACAAAUAUGUUCUUAUCCAUGCCACUGAUUUGGCAAAAAUUCUUGGUGUCAAUCACUUAGACUUUUUUCCAAUUGAUGUUGAUCCUGAUGUGGCUUAUCAAUCGAUCUCACGUAUCUCUGAUUUUUCCAUAGAUACUCUAUCCCAUCUUUCACAUCACAAUUUUCUUCUAAACCAAAUUGUCUUGCAUAAAAUCAUCAUUAACUAUCUUCAAUCAAAAGAACAUAUGUAUCUCAGUAUGGAGCCAAGAUCAUCUGGGCUCUUUUAAAUAAUCAUCAUUUUUCACUCGCACACAUGGUCAUCCUUCACAUGUACUAAAUUGUUUUAAAGUCCAAACAACAGUUGUCCUAUGGAUCUUUGAUUACCAAAAUCUAUAUGCACUAGGAUAUCGAGAUCCUAGACAGUUUCAAGAAAAAACAACUCCCUUUAACAUCGGUAAAUGAAAAGAUGAUGGAAAAAAAUGGGUUUUAGGUUUGUCCAAUGAAGAUGGCAAGAUAGACAUGGAAAACCAAUUCGAACAAAUGUUGAAAAUCCAAUGGCAGACUUAGCUUCACCACUUGUAAAGAGGAGAAAAACUCAGAUUGAUAGGAGUGGAUCUCAAUCCUUCUUGCAAAAAUUGACUAAGGAAUCAUGUGAGGACUUUGAUGUAACAUAAGAUUAGGAAGAUGAUUUGACAAGUUGAUUGAAAGAAUUGGCGAUAGCCCUAUGGAUGAUGAUUUGGAGGAAGAUAAGAUUACAGAUGAAACUAAACUGGACAAGCCAGAUGAUGUGGAAAAUCUGCAAAAAUGGCAAGUGACUAACCUCCAGCAAUUGUGCAUGAGAAAGAAAAGGAAGUGGCCAAUGCCUUAGGAUCGAUUAAGAAUGUGUUGCAAGAAGUUGUAGCUAGUGUCAGUAAAGAAAAGCCUACUGAAAUGGACAAUGCCACUUUAUCAUAUCAUCCGGAAAUCGAAGAAGUUUCGAAUCAGCUAUAGGGUGAACAAGUGCUGAUAGAGGUACCCCAGGAUCCUAAUGAGAAUACGGGAGCAACCACUACAUAAAAGGUUGCUGCCUCAAUUGCAGAUGAAGAUGUUGUGGUGGUUGACAAAGAAGUGGAUGUAGAGAAAGAAGUAGAAGCAAACAAAGAUGCUCCAAUUGAGGGGGAACAAGUGCAGACUAUAGGGGUUGUGGAGACAGAGCAGGGCGGAAAGAAAAAGGACUAACCCCCUAGCAAUUGUGCAAGUGACUGACCCUCCAACAGUUACGUGAGAGAAAGAGAGGGAAGUGGUUGAUACCUUAGCAUCGAUUAAGGAUGUGUUGGAAGAAGUUGUGGCUAGUGUCAGUAAAGAAAAGCAAACUGUAAUGGACAAUGCUACUUUAUCAAAUCAUCCAAAAAUCAAAGAAACUUUGGAUUAGUUGCAGGGUGAACAAGUGUUUGCAGAGGUACCCCAAGAUCUUGAUGAGAAUACGGGAGCAACCACGGAGCAAAGGUUUGCUGCCUCAGUUGUGAAUGAAGAAGUUGUGGUGGCUGACAAAGAAGUAGAUGCAGAGAAAGAAGCAGAAGUAGACAAGGAUGCUCCAAUUGAGGAGGAGCAAGUGCAAACUGUUAAAGAAAAUUCAGUUAGUAUUUUGAAGUUAACAAAACAUUUCCAAAAGUCCAGUUUGAAGACUUGCAGACUCAAAAGUUAUUAUCUGAAGAACUCUAGACUCUUUUGUCAAAAUUUGAAGACGACGAGACUUUAGUCUAAAAAGUUUGCCCUCACUGACAGUUUCCAGACUGAAGAAUGAAGACUUAUCCAUAUACGGGAUUAUCUUCAAGAUUUUGAUUUGUAUGAUUUAUGGAUGACCUUAUAGCUGGAUAUAGCACAUAUUUGAUUGAUUAUCUUUAUCGGAUCAAUUCCGAUUUAAAGAUCUUUUGAAAGGCGAACAAACUUAGAAGGUUCUACUUAUGGAAACCAAAAAUCUUAAUUGUAUGGGUGAACAUAAUUGAUGAGCUUUCAUCACAAUCAUUUAACGAUUCGAAAAUCCCCUUGAUUAAUUCUGUCCAACGGGUAAAUUAGAAGAAUUCCUUUGGUAAGUGCCAACGGUUAUGAAGGCAUGAAGGAGUAUUUAAGGCGGACUCUCAAGUUGUUCGAAUGUGUGCAUGAAAGAAGAAUUCCAAAGUAUGAAGCUCUCCAGUUACUUAUUGUUUCAUUCAUUGAGCUUAAAGUUGUAUACAAAAGAAAGAGAUACUUAGUAAGACUUUAUGUGAGACCAGUAGAGACUCAUCACUAAGAAAGUCGAAGAUCACAAGUUGUAAAAUCUCUUUUGAUUCAUAGUGGAAUCUAGCCAGUGGGCUAUCAGCGCGAGAGAGUAGACGUAGGCUUGAUCUAAGCCGAACCGCUAUAAACCUUGUAUUCUAAUUCUCUUUCCUUGAACUCUUUACUUUCAUUCAUAUAUUUGCAUAUUCAUUUAAAAUUGAUUACGUUCAUAGUCUAUCAUUUUCUAAAAGCAAAUUACUUUUGCUAAGUCUUGUGAAAAUUUUUAUCUACACCGAUUCACCCCCCUCUAAGUGGUUGCACUAGUCCUUUCAAUUGGUAUUAGAGCUUGUGUGCUUACUUAUUGAAGUGUUUUUACUUCUUAAGCUAAAGAUUUAUGGGUAGUAUUUUGGCUCAAGGAUUGGUUGAAGGCCAAAGUAACACCAAACCUCCUUACUUUGAUGGGUAGGAGUACAAUAUAUUGGAAAAAAGAAAAAGAUGAAGGCAUUCCUGAGAUCGAAAGAUCCCUUGGAAUGGAAUGUGGUAGAAAAAGGGAUCAUUUCCAAAGCUACAUCAACCUCAAAAAGAGGAAAGGAAGUUGCAGAUGCUGGCGAAAUAACACAAGCAGAAAUAACCAAGAGACAAGCUCCUGAUGCUAAAGCUAUUUACUCAUUAUACUAUGCUUUAUCUCCAACUGAGUAUAACAGAAUUUCAUCUUGUGAAACAACAAAAGAAGUCUAGGACAGGUUGCAUGUUACCUAUGAAGGAACUGAUCGAGUUAAAGAAACAAAAGUCAAUAUACUACUUAGACAGUAUGAAGCCUUUAAGAUGAAGUCAGGAGAAUCCAUCACUCACCUGUUCAUUCGUUUCACGGAGAUUGUAAACGGUCUAGCAUAUCAUGGACAACCAAUCUCAAGACCAAUGAAGGUCAAUAAAUUGCUGCGUAGACUCUCCAAAGACUGGAAUCACAUUAAGACUUCAAUUAGAGAAACCUCGAGGAUCAUACCUCUUACAAUAAAUGAACUUGUUGGCACACUUCAAUCAUAUGAAGUUGAGCAAAUCAAUGAGGAAGAAUAUCCCAAAGGUAAGAAGUCGAUUUUUUUAAAAUCUAACGAUGAUUUUGAUAUUUAAGAUUCAGAAGAUGACUUGGACGAUGAAAAGCUAGCACUCAUGAUAAGGAAGUUCAGGAAGUUGAACAGGAAAGGAAGAAAGUUUAACUGGAAGAAGCGAAGCUCUCAAAGAUUUUAGAAGAAAUCAACUGAAGACAAUGAGACCAACAAAGAUGUGUUUUGCUUCGAAUGCAAGAAAAAUGAGCACAUUAGACCCAACUGCCCUCUGUUGAAUAAAAAGAAAGGAAAAAUAGAGAAAUUCAAAAAUGCUUUCAAAGUAGAGACAUUGAGUGAUACAGAAUGCGAAGAAAAUGAUGAAGAAUAUGCCAACAUAUGUUUAAUAGCAAAUUCAGAAUCAGACUCAGACUUUGAAACAAAUUCAGACUCAGACAAGAAAGUCGAUGUUAGUGAUUUAAAAAUUCAUAUUAAAGUCUCAAAAUAUAUAGAUGAACUCUAUCUUAGUCUCAAAACAUCUCUUAAAAGGACUUCCGAGUUAAAAAAGGGAGAAUUCUAGACUUAAGCAAUAUGAGAUUUCUUGGAAAGAAAAUUUUGAAAAUCUAGAUAAAAGUUUUGUUGAUUUGAAAGAAAACUCAGACUCUCUUUCGAAGGAAAAUGCCUUUUUGAAAGAAGAUAUUUCAAAUAUCAUGAAAAUAUUUUCAAAAGGUUAUGAGAAGUUGGAAAUGAUUCUUUCAGUACAAAGAUCUUAUUUUAACAAAUUUGGUUUAUGUAUGACACAUGAAAUUGUUCCUUUAAUUGAUUUUCCCAAAGUAAAUGAAAAAAUCAAAUAAAGACCUACAAAAACAUUUUAUAGAAAUCAUUUUUAAAAUUUUUUUGUAAAACCUGUUGGCCGAAGUGCUCUUAAAUGUUCAAAGUGUAACAGCUCAGAACAUUUUGAGAAGGAAUGUCCCAAAGUUUGGAGACCUAUUAAGAGAGUUUGGGCAAAGACUGUUUUUGUAACUAACUCCCCUGGACCCAAGAAAAUAUGGGUACCAAAGAAAACUUGAGUUCUUUUUAUGAUUGCAGGUCACUAUUAAGAAAAAAAGAUCAAAUGAUAUUUGAAUAGUGGCUGUUUGAGACACAUGACAGGAAAUCCUGUUCGUUUUAUAAAGANNNNNNNNNNNNNNNNNNNNNNNNNNNNNNNNNNNNNNNNNNNNNNNNNNNNNNNNNNNNNNNNNNNNNNNNNNNNNNNNNNNNNNNNNNNNNNNNNNNNUAUGAAUGGUGGAAAGUUUCUUUUGAUGGAAACAACAAAGGAAAAAUUGUUGGAUGUGGAACUGUGAAGAUUGAAAGUCUCACAAUCAACAAUGUCUCAUUGGUGGAAUGUUUGAAUUACAAUUUAUUUAGCAUAAGUCAAUUGUGUGACACUGGUUUCAAAAUUAAUUUUCAAGAAAGCAUUUGCUUGGGAAUUAGUAAAGAUUUAUCUCAGUCUUUUACUGGACGAAGACAUGGAAAUAUUUACCUUUUGGAUAUAAAACCAGAAAACUCUUAAUGUCUAAUUUCCAUUCAAGAUGAAGUAAAUCUUUGACAUCGAAAACUUGGCCAUGUUAACAUGAAGCAGAUUGCCAAGAUCUCCUCUAAGAAGUUUGUUCAUGAACUGCCCAACUUGACUUAUCAAAAGUCUGAAUUAUGUACACCAUGUGUUCUGGGAAAACAUGUUAGAAGUUCUUUUAAACCUAUAAAUCAAGUUUCUACUAAUUGAGUUUUGCAGCUUCUGCAUAUGAACCUUUUUGGACCAACCAGAACUCAAAGCAUUGGUGGAAAGAAAUACUGCCUAGUAAUCGUAGAUGAUUAUUUUUGCUUUACUUGAGUAUUCUUCCUAGCAAGUAAGUCUGAAGUAUUCUCUUACUUUUCAAAAUUUGCCAAGAAGGUUCAGAAUGAAAAAUAAUAUGCUAUUUCAAGCAUACGAACAGAUCAUGGAGGUGAGUUUGAAAAUCAAGACUUUACAAGUUUUUGUGAUGAAUUUGGUUUCCAGCAUGUUUUCUCUUCUCCAUAUACUCCAGAACAAAAUGGGGUUAUGGAAAGAAAAAAUAAAUCUUUGCAGGAGAUGGCAAGAACCUUCUUAAUUGAGAGUAAUAUUUCCUCUUGUUUUUGGGUUAAAGUAGUUUCUACAACUUGCUACAUCAUUAACAGAGUGUUCUUGAGACCUAUUAUAGAGAAAACUCCUUAUGAAGUAUUUAAAGAGAAAAAGCCAAAUGUUUUUUAGUUUCAUGUGUUUGGUUGUAAGUGUUUUGUUUUGAAAAAUGCAAAUGAUUGAACUGGUAAGUUUGAAGAAAAAUUAGACGAAGGAAUUUUUCUUGGCUACUCAACCUUAAGCAAAGCCUACAGAGUAUUCAACAAAAAGAAUCAGUCUAUGGAAGAAUCUAUGAACGUCAAGUUUCAAGACUCUAUGCAAAAUUAAGUUGACCAGACUCAACUUUAAGAAUCCGAACCUGCUCUAAACGUUAUAAAAUCUACUUCCCCCGAAGUAGUUCAGACUUCUAAAGUUCAAUAACAAAAAGAAUCAAAAGAUUCAACUGAAGCAGAAGAUCAACAAACUCUCACACCAACCAGCAACUGGAAGCAUAAGUCAAGUUAUCCUGAAGAACUCAUCAUUAGCAACAUUGAUGAAGGAAUUCGAACCAGAUCCAAAAGACGAGAAGAGUCUAGUGCCUUGGCACUUAUUUCUGAGAUUGAACCUAAAAGUAUAGAAGAAGCCUUAGUUGAUGAAAGUUAGAUUGAAGCUAUGCAAGAAGAGCUUAGACAGUUCAACAUUAACAAUGUUUGGAAACUAAUUCCUAAACCUAAAGGUAAGUCCAUUAUUGGAACUAAAUGGGUUUUCAGGAACAAAGUAGAUGAGAAAGGAAAAGUGAUCAGAAACAAAGCAAGACUUGUGGUCAAAGGAUAUACACAAAAAGAAGGGAUAGACUAUGAUGAGACCUAUACACUAGGAGCGAGGUUAGUUACUUUUGCUUGCUAUAAAAAUUUCAGGUUAUUCCAAAUGGAUAUAAAAAGUGCAUUCCUAAAUAGAUUCAUCCAAGAAUAAGUCUAUGUGGAACAACCACCUGGUUUUGAAUAUCAAAGAAAGCCAGAUUCAAUCUACAGACUAAAAAAGACUCUAUAUGGACUAAAGCAAGCACCUCGAGCCUGAUAUAAAAGGUUCAGUAAUUUUCUAAUCCAAAAUGGUUUUGUUAAAGGUAAAGUAGAUACUACCUUAUUCAUUAAAAGAGAAGAUAACGAUUUUCUACUUGUUCAAAUUUAUGUUGAUGAUAUUAUUUUUGGAUCACCUAAUGAAAAUUUAUGUAAGAAUUUUUUUAAAUGCAUGCAGGAUGAAUUUGAGAUGAGUAUGAUAGGUGAAUUAACUUCCUUUUUAGGAUUACAAGUUAAACAAUCAAAGGAAUGUAUCUUCAUUCAUCAAGAGAAGUAUGCGAAAAAUCUCAUCAAAAAGUUCUUCAAAGCUGAAUAAACGUGAAGGAGGAAAGGAUGUAGACCAGAAGUUAUACAGGAGCAUUAUUGGUUCACUUCUUUACCUUACUGCAUAUAGACCUGAUAUUUUGUUUAGUGUUUGUAUUUGUGCAAAAUUCCAAUCAAAUCCCAAAGAAUCUCACUUAAGUGCUGCAAAGCACAUCAUCAAAUACGUUGCAAUGACUCCAAAGUUAGAUUUGUGGUAUUCCAAAGAAAGAGACUUUACUCUCCUUGGAUAUUUAGACGCAGAUUUAGCAGGUUGUAGGGCUGAUAGAAAGAUUACUUUUGGUACAUGUCAAUUACUGGGCAACAAGCAUGGUUUUCAAGAAAACAAAAUACCGUAGCUCUUUCAACAGUUGAAGUAGAAUAUGUGGCUCUUGGGAGCUAUUGUUCCCAAAUUUUGUGGAUAAGGCAACAGUUUAGAGAUUUUGGAAUUGAAGAAUCAUGCACUGAGAUCAAAUGUGAUAACCCCACUGCCAUCAAUCUCACAAAGAAUCCAAUUCUUCAUUUAAGAGCAAAGCAUAUAGAGAUCCGACACCACUUUAUUAGAAAUCAUGUUCAGAACGGAGAAAUUAGGAUUCAGUUCAUCAACUCAAAGAAUCAGUUGGCAAACAUAUUCACAAAGCCAUUGGAGAAAAAUUUAUUUGAGUCUAUACGCGCCAGACUGAACAUCAUAUCUCUUAUCGAGUAAAGUCUGAAAAUGUUCAAACUCAAAAUAUCCAAAAGUUACGACUGUAAGUUAAUACUCUCUAAAUGAUUAUGAGUUUAUUUUUGGAUAAAGCUCCGAAAAGGUACGUUGAUUUUUGAAUCGAUACUUGCCUAUUUCAUUUUUAGGAAUUAUCCUUGAAUUUAUGGUGGUUUUUCAUUUUCAAAAUAGGUAGUUUUCAUUUUUGAAAAAUGCAGUUUUUACUUUUUCCUCUGUGACCUUUCAUAUACCCCGUUUCACUUGCUUUAUAUACAGUCGAAAUUCUUCUUCUCCAUUUACACUCAUUCAAACCCUAGAAUAUAGAGAUCCUAUUUUCUCUCAUUUCUCUUGUGUUUGAUCCAAAAAGCUUUCACCUUUUUCCAACAAACGAGAUCAAGAAAUCCUCCAAGACUUUGACAAUGUCUUUCCAGAGGAAAUCUUCGAGAAUUGCGAAUAGGAGACCACAGCACAUGCUUGAGGGUCCUACCCACUUCUAUUUAACUGAAGAAGAAGAUACUACUUAGUAACAACCACAACAACAUUCUCAACAGCGUCACUCCUCACAACAAACAACACAAGAUCCUCCACAAGCAGAAGAAGAGAUCAUUGAAGAUGUUGAAUCUAUAAGAACACAAAAACCCCAAUUUUUGUUUAGACUCUACUCGAACUUAAAGAUGGGUGGUGCUAUAAUGACUUUGAUCGAUGAGUUUCUGAAAACAAAUUGUUAUAAGAACGAAACUUUUUUCUUGAAUACCAUGGAAAGGUGAGGCAUUGCGCCUAAAGGGUUUUGUAGCAAUGACUUUUGCCAACUUUCCAAGUGAUCUGUGCGUUGGUGGUUUUAAUCAACCUGAAGGAAAGGACAAUGAUGAAAGGAUGUAUACCCAUUUUCAGCCUAGAAUGGGUGUUGAUGCAACUCUUUGUAGAGAGGGAAUGAGUUUAUUCUGUUCCAAGGACCACAAAAGGACUUAUUCAAAUCUACUAGAGAGAAGGGUUAUGAACCCUAGAAGUGUGGACUUUGAUUUUCUCAAUUAUUUGAAAGUGAGACUAAGGGAGAAGUUUGCACUUCUUCAACUUGAACGCUUUUGCUUAGAAACUACUGAAGCUUACCCUGAACUGACUGCUUACUUCUAUUCAAAUUUGUCUUUUCUAAAUGCGGAUAGAUUUUGUUUUACGUUUAGGGACAAAGAAUUUGUGGUUGAUGUGGAUAUAUUGGCUGAUGUGAUUGGUGUGGCAAGAGGGAGUUUCUAACCAAUCAGUGUGUCCGUUGGUCAUGCGACUUUGGCUCUUAUUCGGGAUAGAUUUGCUGAGGGCAUGAUUUCUUACACUAGAAUGAAUGCCUCCAAUAUUUUACUUCACAAGAUCGUGAUCAACUGCAUCAGACCCAAAUCCACAUCAAAAACUAAUGUCUCUCACUCUGAAGCGAAGUUGAUGUAUGCAAUCAACAUUGGCUAUAAGUUCUCACUGCCUCACACUAUCCUAAUGCACAUGUAUAGGACAGUUGUGAAGGAUAAGGGGCAACUACCUUACUCUGCGCUUGUCACUCAACUCUUUAAACAUUUCCAAAUUUAGAUUCUUGCUUCUCUAUGUGUUAGAAUCAUUGCGCCAAUGGUGAUUGGGCUGAAAAUGGUUUCAAAGAUGCGUCUAAAGGAGUUGAAUAAGGAAUUGGAGCGCUUGAAGGAGAAGACCCCUGUCAAGGCAAAACAAGACUCUACAGCAAUGAAAAGAAAAGGCAAGGAGCCCAUGACUGCACCAACCAAGAAGAGGAGAGCCCUUAUCUUGCAGGAUGAAGAAGAUGAGGACGAUAUCACUCUCUCUGCCUUACGUAAUUUAUGAAGUUUUGUUAGCUUCAAAGAGCCAGAGGACAGAGAGAAUAGAGAGAACAGAGAAAGAACAAAAACAAAGAAGAGAAGUGAAAAAAGAACAGAGGAAGGAGAAAGAGGAAGAAGAUGAUCAAGAUGACCCUUUUGAGCCAACAUAUGUUGUAUCCUUGUCUGAGGAUUCCGAAAAGACUCGGAGUGGAACUGUAAGAGACGAACAACAUCACUCGGAUGCUGAAGCAAAGUAAGGACAAGAAGAAGAAUUCUUUUCUCCACUUGAAGGCAUAGAAAUAGGGGGAGCUGUUAGAAAAAGAGGUACUUCUUCACAUGUCUUUACUAGUGAUAUAAGUAGAUCUCCAGCAGAUCCAUAGGAUGUCUAUGCCUCUCAAUAUCCUGAAGCAGAUGUAGAGGAAUCCACUCCUAGUCCUGGUGAUCAAACUACUAAUAUUCCCUCACAUCUCAAUACUCCUGGAAUUGAUUCGGCUGAACCUAGUGCUGCAACAGAACCAACAGCAGACUUUCAAAGGUUGUUGGAAAUCCUUUUGGGUGUGAAGGCUCAACAAUAUGGAAUGGAGUGAGAGAUCAAGCAUCUUAAAACAACUUUCUAGUCCACUUCAAACUCUACAUGAAUAGAUACAAGCCUUGAAACUUCAAGUGCAAGAAACCGCAAAGGGUGAAGAUAUUGAACAGCUGAAGGAGACUCUGAGGAAGCUAGAGGAGACUGUCAAGUCUAUGGGGGAUUUCCAAAUCGUUCGUAUCCCCAAACAACCAUGAUUUUUACCCAACUUUUUUUAUAGUCAUUCUUCACUUUUUACUGUGACAAAAAGGGGGAAAGUUUGUGCAGAUUUGACUGAUCUAUCUUUUUGGCUUGGAACCUUUUGAAAUAAUUUUAUGCUUGGUAUCUUGGACUUUGGUAUUUUUUUGUUGUACUUUUUGGUUUGGUUUUAGACUGACCUUGGAUUGUUUGGAUUUGAACUUUUUAAUGCUUGCACUAACUUAGAUUGUGAUACUGAUUACGGUUGGAUAGUCAUUUUGUCUUGCAGGACUAACAUGUUUUUUGUGGUUGCAGAAUCGAUGUUGUCCAGGUCUUAAUAAAAAAAAAUUUAGAUAUCAUGUAUUGCUUAAGUGUUGUUUUGCAGUUCAAAAUUAUUCAAAUCUGCAGGAAAGUUUUGUUACCAUAAAAAAAUGGGAGAUUGUUAGAGAAAACUCCAUUAGUGUUUUGAAGUUGACAAAACAUUUCCAAAAGUCCAAUAUGAAGUCUUGCAGACUCAAAAGUUAUUAUCUGAAGAACUCCAGACUCUUUUGUCAAAAUCUGAAGAUCGCGAGACUUUAGUCUAAAAAGUCUGUCCUCACUGACAGUUUCCAGACUGAAGAAUGAAGACUUAUCCAGAUGUGGGAUUAUCUUCAAGAUUUUGAUUCGUAUGAUUUAUGGAUGACCUUAUGACUGGAUAUAGCACAUAUUUGAUUGAUUAUCUUUAUCGGAUCAAUUCCGAUUUAAAGAUCUUUUGAAAGGCGAGCAAACUUGGAAGGUUCUACUUAUGGAAACCAAAAAUCCUGAUUGUAUGGGCAAACAGGAUUGACGGCUUUCAUCACAAUCAUUUAACGACUCGAAGAUCCCCUUGAUUAAUUCUGUCCAACGAGUAGAUUGAAAAAAAUUUCUUUGGUAAGUGCCAACAGUUAUGAAAGCAUGAAGGAGUAUUUGAGGCGGACUCUCAAGUUGUUCGAAUGUGUGCAUGAAAGAAGAAUUCCAAAGUUUGAAGCUCUCCAAUUACUUACUAUUUCAUUCAUUGAGCUCAAAGUUGUAUACAAAAGAGAGAGAUACUUUGUGAGACUUUGUGUGAGACCAGUAUAAACUCAUCACUGAGAAAGUCAAAGAUUAUAAGUUGUAAAAUCUUUUUUGAUUCAUAGUGGAAUUCAGUCAGUGGGCUAUCAGCGCAGGAGAGUGGACGUAAGCUUGAUCUAAGCCGAAUCACUAUAAACCUUGUGUUCUAAUUCUCUUUCCUUGAACUCUUUACUUUCAUUCAUAUAUUUGCAUAUUCAUUUAAAACUGAUUAUGUUCUUAGUCUAUCAUUUUCUAAAAGCAAAUUACUUAUGCUAAGUCUUGCGAAAUUUUUUAUUUACAUCUAUUUACCCCCCGCUAGGUGGUUGCACUAGCCCUUUCACAGACUACAAGGGUUGCAGAGAUAGAGCAAGGUGGAAAGGAAAAAGACAAUGAUCCAUCCAUUGAGAUCAUUCCUCAACCGAAGGUUACAGCUGAUUCCAAUGAUAACAUUCUUCGAGUGCUUAUGGAACUAAAGGAUGAGGUCAAGGAACUGAAAUAUCAUAUCAAGAGGCUCACACAAGACAAUGACCGAAGGGUAGAGAAGCUUGAGAACACAAUCACUCACAUGAGUCACUAUGUCCUUGUCUUUGUGCCUCCAGAUGAUCUCCCUUCUUCAAGUCCUCCAGCUCAAGACCCAAACCAGCCCUCCACCUCUAAAUAAUCUUUUAGUUUCUUUUCAAAAGUUCUAAGACAAUUUCAUUUGUGUUGGCUUGUUUUUUGCUUGAACUAUCAGUUUGCUUUAGUUUGUUAUUUGGGUUUGCUAUGUCAAUUUGCUACUGAGUUUUGGACUUAUGGUUGCUAUUAUAUAUAUUAUAUGGCUUGCUAUUACCUUUUGUACUAUUGACAAAAAGGGGAAGAAAUAUGAGGACGCAAAAUUUUGUGGAUUUUGAUGUGAUAAUGCAAGGAUGUUGAUGCAACGUGAUCCAUAUUUUGAAGAUUUAUUUCUCGCAAGAUUCGUUAAAGCUUUCCUAUCUCUUACCUUGCAAGAUUUGGAAUAUCUAUAAGAAUCAUAAUCUUUUUAUCUAUCAUUCUUAUAUAUAAAGAUUGCGCUUUAAUUAAAAAUCUUCCUAUUUUCAAAGCUUUACCAAAAUCAUUUCUUUUAAAAUGAUUUUGCUGUGAAAGUUUUGUCAUCAUUAAAAGGGGAGAGACUAUUAAGGAAAAUUCCCUUAUUAGUUUUGAUGAUUAACAAAACUUUCUUUAAUUGUUCUUUAUUUCUGAUGGUAAGAUUUUUCAAGUGGAAACUGUGAUGGUAAGACUAUUAGACGUUACUCAUUAGACUUAGAAAAUCAAACUCUAAAUGUUGAAGAAGUUCAUAUCUUUGAUAUUCAAUACUUGGGGAUAUUGAUAGAGAGAGUAAUCUUCAUGCAACGGCUAGAAAUUUGGUGGAUUCCUUGCUAAAAUUAAAAGAUCUAUCCAAGAAGGAAAUUAUAUCAUAUCAAAUCUUUCAAGAUGGAAUAUAGCAAGACUUGGAUAAAUCAAUCUACAAGAGGCGAAACAUUUUUUCCAAGUGAAGCGAUUUUCUUAUAGAAACUCUAUCUACUGUAUAGGCGGCAAAAUCAUUGAGAGACUUCAAUCUUAGCAGCCUUAAAGCAAUAAGAUCUUCUAACAACAUUCAAAUUCAAUGGGUAGAUUGGAUGGACGAUCCUCUAAGGUUACGUCCAACGGUCAACUUGGAGAAAAAGGAUUAUAAAAGAAGGUCGGGAUGCUGAAAGGAAACAAGAAGCUGAAAUUCUAAAGUUUAUAAUUCCUAAGUCUUGAGGAUCUUCAAUCAUAUAUAUUUGUUUCUAUGAAGUAUACUGUGUAAUCUUUUAGAGGCUGACAGUGUGUGAGGAAUUGUUCACACAAGCUUGAAUAGUCAUUACUCAGAUCUUGUUCCUUUGAUAGAUUCAUCUAGUGAAUUCAACCAAUUAGCUGUUAGCGCGAGAGAAUGGACAUGGGGUUACAAAAGCGGACUGACUAUAAUCAUUUGUGUGUAAUUUUCUAUUCCUUACUCUCUUUAUUUUACUUGUGAUAAAAGUUAAUCGCACACUAAUAAGAUCUGAAAAGUACUCAACUUGUUGCAGACGUUGUAACGUUUUAAAUUUAUUUUAUUCCGUACUAUCACCUAUUCACCCCCUCUAGAUAAUCCAUGUAGCUCUAACAAUUUAUAUGUUGGAUGUCGAUGGUUCACAAGUGUGCAUAUUGAUACUUUGUCGAACCAUCUCUAUUCUCAAUGGUCAUUGUCUAUUCAUAUACGAAGACACAUGCGAGCGCAAUGUAGAAUCUAUCUUCUUGGUAUACAUAUGUAGAUAUACAAGAUAAAAAGUUGAUGUUGUAUGCGAUCUAAUAAUGAUAUUGUAUUGAAAUCGUCGGCCGGAGUUGUAAUCGAAAAUGAAUGGUUCAUAUCUCAUAGAAUACAUGUCAAUUAGAUUUGGGCAUAUGAUUGAAUUGGUAGCUUGACAUAUGGUUCCAUGGCUUUUAUUCGAUUGGGACAUGAUGAGACAGAAUGAUCAAAUUACACAGUCACCAAAGCUAAUAGAUUCAUUAUGUUCUUGAAACAUUCGCACUAUCUUUGUAGCCAUAACACAUUGCUAGAUGUCAUUCAUGGUUUAUAGGAAUCGGAGAUUGAUCAAGACAAUCAAUUCUCCUGGUUGUGCUAAUGUGUUAGUACAAAUCUUGCUGCCAGUUCAGUGAUGAACCUAGGGAUAUUACACACUAUAACCAAUUGGAAUGACGUUUGAAUGAGGGAGACAAUAUUGCAAAUGUGUUUGCAAUUGAGCCAAUUAGAUUGAGUCAGAUUGAAAAUAAAAGAUCUGAAAGUGGCUUCAAAUUUUAUGGUCAAAUCAAAGAUCUAAAGCAUGUUUCAAAAUUUAUAGUAGAAUCAAAGAUCUAAAGUGGGUUCAUAUUCAAUGACCGAAUUAAUAAUUUGAAAUGAGUUCAGAAUUAAUAGCCACAUUAAUGAUCUAAAGUGAAUUCAUAAUUAAUUGCAUCAUUAAUGAUUUAAAGUGAAUUGGAAUCAAUAGUCAAAUAAUGAUUUGGAACGGUUUCAAACUUAAUGACUAAAUUAAAUAUCUAAAACGGUAGUUUUAACGAUCACAUUAAUGAUUUGAAAUAAUUUUAGAAUCAAUGGGCAGUUUAAUGAUCUGAAACGAUUUCAUAUUCAAAUGACCAAUUGAUAAUUUAAAACGGUUUCAAAUUUAAUGGUCAAAUCAAAUAUUUGUAACAGUUACAAAAUUAAUGCCCAGAAUAAAGUCUUGUAACGAUUACAAAUUAAUGCCUGGAAUAAUAUUCUCUAACGGUUACAAAAUUAAUGCGCGGAUUAGUGUCUGAAACGGUCUCUGAACUUACGUCCCUCAAAUGUUACGGUUGAAUUAAUUCUCUAAAACAAUUUUAGAGUUAAUGAACCAAUUUAAAGGUGAUCUGGGAUUAAUUAUAAAAGGCAAUUGAGAGAGCUGAUCACAAGAUGAUUGACAAUCGACAAUUAAAAGUGUUAAUAGUGAUCAACUAAGUCAUUCACACACAAGAACAAUUGCUAGCACAAUUGUAAUGGUGAGAUCUCUCAAUUUAUCUCUACUAUUCAACGUAAGAUUGGUGGUGUGUUUGAAUUAGAGGCUCGACAUUUGUGGGGUUGGAUUUGAAGAACGUCAGAACCUGCAUUAUGGGGAGAUCAGACAUUUAUAGUUAGAAUCUGAAGAAUGUUAGAACUAGUAUUAUCAGAAGACAUUAGACAUUUGUGGUCGGAAUUCCAAUAAUGUCAAAAUCAAUGUUGCCAGAAGAUUAAACAUUCAUAGUAAGAAUCUGAAAAAUGUUAGAAUCAAUGUUAUGAGGACAUCAAACGUUUGUGGUCAAAAUCUGAGGAACAUCAUAAGCAAAUUUUUGGAGCACGGUCCAAAAUGUGUGAUUAGCCCAUUUAUCACUUCUAUGUACUUUUAUUAAAAUGCAUGAACAAUGCUUUGAAAAUACGUGUAUGGACGUUUUUACUUUUGUUACUUAUCAUUUUGAUUCAAAUUUAUCUAUGCAUGUAUUCUUGUUUAUCAAAACAAAUCCCAACAUUGUCUUCAUGUGGGGUCAAUAUGGCAGAUGUGUCACUUGAAGGUCAAUCUCUCUCUCUCUCUCUCUCUCUCUCUCUCUCUCUCUCUCUCUCUCUCUCUCUCUCUCUCUCUCUCUAAGUUUGAACUUUUAAUAUGCAUACUAUCUGUAUGACAGAGACUACCAAAGACAAGCAGAUUCGACAUAAUCCUAAAAGAGAGAUGCCAGAAUGGAUUUUCCACGAUAAAGGGGUUCAACAUCUUUCAUAAUUCCCGAGGACUUGUAUGACAAGUCCUCGAGACUAGCACUCUCUAGCAUUCUUGGCUUGGAAGAAGAAGUGGUCAAUGCUUCAUGUGAGGUCAAAAUAUUGGUUAAAGGCCAAAGUUUGACUUAAAACUUGAAAUUAUUUUUUUCCUUGGAAUCUUAUCAUGUGAGGCUUGAAUAUUUAACACUCGUUAGACUGUGUGAACCAUGGACGCUUCUGCAAAAGGAUUGGUGUCAUUGCCAAGUUUGCUUCGAAGCAAUGAAAGUAAGCACAAAGAAGUGUGGAUUUUGUCUAACAUGCAAGUAAGAGGAGGAUGAUCUGAGGGUCUGCACUCCAACACCAUCAGCUGAUAUAAAAAAAAAAUAUGGAGUUUUAAGGAAAGAGACUCAAAGGAAGACAAUUGUCAAUAGACACCGAGGAAGAAUAUAGUCCGGUGGAACAAAACUUAAACAAAGAAGAUGAAAUGGUCUUUACUGUGGCAAGAGUAUGGCUUGCAAAACAUGCCUGUCAAAUUGGUCAUGACUUGUUGAGGAAAUGAUUCCAAGUGAUUUUGAUUCCAAUGUCUCUCACUUUUCCCUUUUUUCGUCUCUAGUAGAAAUUUGAAAAUGUCUGCUCUUUCAACCAGAAUUUAAAAUAACUAUGAAAUAGAGGUUUCACCUCAUGAUGUUGACAUGGUUGAGGAACUUCUUCGUUUUCCUCUUCUUUUUUUUCUUUUUUUUAUGAUUUGUGAUGCUAAGUGCAUAAAUUCAAAAUUAAAUGGAUGCUUGUUGAAUGGCCAUUGGUCUUCCAAGUUGCUCCGUGUAAUUUAUCAUAUGGACCUCUGUCACCUCUCUUAAUUCAAUUAAUGAUGCCAGCACUACAUACUCUAAAAAUUUAGAUGGUAAGUUUUGCUCAAUCUAAUAUAAUCUAUAUCUUUGGGAAAGUGUUGAUUAAAUUGUCUCACUGAUCAUGAGGUACAAAGGGAGAGCUUUAUCUUUAAGAUUUUGCAUUUAAGUCAAGGACAUUGACAUUGAUAGGUACAAAGGGAGAUUAGUUGAUUCCUCCGUUGUGACUGGCAGAUUGCAUUAAUAGGUACAAAGGGAGAGCUUGAUCUUCAAGACUUUGCUUUUAAGUCAAGGACACCGACAUUAAGCAACUAGCGUUUGGUAAACACCUUGUAAAAUAUUUGCUGCAAAGCAAUUUUAAAAUAAGAAAAAAGAAAAGGAGAACAAAGGACUAUGUAGAUGCAUAUGAAAGCACAGGCGAGCGGCACAAUGGUGGGACCGAUUCUAGCAUUGCACGACCCCAAGUGAUGUGUCAUUGAGGUUGAGCGAGCCCACACAACGCAACGUUAGUGUUGUGGGACCCCAAGUGACGCAUCGCCAAGGCCACCCGCUAGGUAACGUGACACUUGACCCUCAGCGAGCUAAAAUUGAGCGACCUUGAUCAAGCUUCCAAGCAUUGUGCAACUAUCGACGAGCUAGAUCUAGUGUCAAGCAAUCCUCAACAAAAGUUGGGGACUUAUCUUGAGCUUUGAAUAUUUUCAAAACAAAAAUUUGUACAAAAAAUCUUUGAAAUUGUGUUACCAAAUGUCAAAACUUUGAAUCAAGGGCAUUUGGAGGCCCAAAACAAGUUAAUUCGGACACUCAAAAUUUUUAAUGGCUAAAUUAGAUGGGAUUGAAGCGGAAGGUGAAAUUGGAAUAUACCAAAAUUGCCUUUAUAUUCUUCAUCGGCUUACAUUAAAAUUCAAUGAUGUAGAAAUGACAUUUGCUGAUUUCUCAAUCCAACAUCUUAAGCUAAAUAUAAGAUUACUAUAGUCUCCACACAAGUGACCUAAUCACAUUAUGAGAGAAUGAGAUAUCAAAAGCUCAUUACUAAACUAUCACUUACAAUCAUUAGAGGUUCAAGAUCAUGUGCACGGCGAUGUCUUUUUUCAAUAUCUAAUUUCUUGGAUCGUGACAUGUAUUUAGGUCUCGUAUGAUUCACCAGUCAUAACAUCACUCCUUCGCUCCUUCUCUCUCUCUCUCUCUCUCUCUCUCUCUCUCUCUCUCUCUCUCUCAUGUGCAAACAAAUUUAUACUCCACAGAGGACAGGAAAGAACUACCAACGCUAGUGACCCUCUUUUGGAUGUUACCCCAUAAAGAGUAUUGUUGACCUCUAAGUUUUGUCCAUUGUCCAAGUGUCCAUUUUGGGCAAAAACAUAAAAGCGCUAGUGACCCUCUUUUGGAUGUCACCCCAUAAAGAGUAUUGUUGACCUCUGAGUAUUGUCCAUUGUCCAAGUGUCCAUUUUGGGCAAAAACAUAAAAGUGCAAAUAAUAAUAAUUAGAAUUAGUUCAGCCCAAAAUCUAAUCCCCUCAGCCCAUCUUUUAGUUCCCUUUGAGCCCAUUUCUUUUGUUCCUUUUGUUGUCCUCAAUAGCCCAUCUGAACUUAAAACAAGAAGGCCCAGGCCAUAUCCAGGCCCCUUCUCUUUCGCAUGCUCACGUCUGUGAGCGAAGAAGACGCGAGCAGCGACCGAGCAAGAGAGGCGUCCGUGAGUCGGUCCGUGAGAGAACAGCGAGAGAGGGAAAAUAACAUAAAAGAUUCCUUCUCGGAGAGAGAGGGGAGGAGGACGCUCGACGACAUGGAGAGUGCGUGCUUGACGAUAUAGGUGAGCAGGGAGCUAGCUCGAAUGGGAGAGAAAGGGAGAGUGCAUCCCGUUUCGGAGUAGCAGAAAACCGCAUCGCUGGAGUCCGCCGUCGGUUUUCAGACCUCCGGUCAACGGCCAAUCCGUGAGUUGUUCUUCACAGAGUCGGUUUCGAAGAUCAGACGAAUACUGAGAUUUCUUCCGCGAGCGGAGGAAAAUCUCUAACCAGACGCCCUUCAUCGUCGUCAAUCGAGACCUCGAUUCGCCAAACAAACCAGGUACAAUCUCGCUCCAAACGCUCUACUUUGUCUCUGUUUUGGCCGAGAAAGACAUGCUCGAUUCGAUCGAUUUUCUUGAAGAGAUCUUGAUAAAACGAAGUUGUUUUGUUGCUAUCCAUGGUGUUUUAAGUCUGUUCGUAACGUGUGAGGCUCAGGAUCUAGUUAAAAUUAAAACAGAAAACCAUUGAAAGAUUGCGUAUUGCAAGUUUGACAAAAUGCCUACAAGAGGCCGAAUGUCAAGUCCCGUCUAAAUUCAAGAUCGAUUCGUACUUUCUGUGUUUUUUGUUGAAUCAUAUCUAAUACUAGCAUUUUCUCUGUGUUUCUAUGCGAUUUGAUGAUAAAUCUUUGCUUGAGUCCAACGUACAUGCGUAUCCCCAAGGCCGGAAAGCUUUUUGUCAGAGUUCCCCUUGCACCAGCGAAGUCAGCGUUUCAGGGACAUACUAGUUAGCCCAUCUCACUUCAUUCUAAUGUAUUUUUGCUUGUUAAUUUGUUGGGAUGCUGCGGUGAAAAGUGUGGAUUAGGUAGGAUGGUUUUUGUUAAGUUUUGCGAUAAUGGAGCAGGCGGCCAGAGGAGGUCAACGUCGCUCGGAAUAAAUGAUCGGCGGCUGGAGAUAGAUGGGCGGUAAUCUAAGUUCUGGUGAUAAACUCGUCAACGAUGGUAUUUGUUUCGUUAAAAAAAAAAAAAAAUGGCGCGAAAGGUGGGGUUGCAGGUUGAAAAUGGCGUUCGGGUAAAGGAUGUCCGGAGGAAGAAGAGGAAGUGCAGGCAAAAAAAGACAAAAAAGAACAAGAGACAAAAAUAAAAGAAUUAAAAAAUAGAAAAAAAAUCAAAACAUUAAAAAAUCCAGUUUUAAUCGGACGGGGGUGGGAUCCGGAUAUACGGAUCGGGUAAACAAGUCCGAACCCAUUCCCCGAAUAUAAUAAUAAUUAUUAAAAUUUUAAAAAUCCAAAAAGUCAUUAAAUCUAUAAAAAUUCAGAAAAUGAUAAAAAAAGAAAAUAAUAAAAAUUUAGAAAAUUCGAAAAUCAAUAAAAAUCAGAAUUUUUAGAUAAUCAUUAAAGAUUAUAAAAAUCCGAAAAAUCAUUAAAAAAUAAAAAGUAGAUAAAAACAUUUAAAAUUUAUAAAAAUUUAGAAAAUUCAUCAAAUAUUAAAAAAUAGAAAUCCAGAAAAAGAAAGAAUUCGAAAAUCAUUCAAAAAUUCAGAAAAUUAUAAAAAAAAAGUAAAAAAAAAAAAAUUAGAAGCCCUUAGAAAUUGAAACCCAUAUUUGGCCAAGUCUUUAGAGUUUUACAAUAGGGUUCUUUAGGCCCUGUUUGGUAACCAUCCAAACAGAAUCAAAUUCUGAUUCUUUGUUCCCAUAAUUAGUUUGGGCCUAAAAUCGCGUUUGGUAAAAUUUUUGUUCUCGGGAACAGAUUGGGAAUAGAAUCAAGAACCAAAAAAAAAAAAAAGUUGAUUCUUGUUUCGGGAACGAAUUUGAGAAUCAAAAUCAAGAAAUCUUCUUCUUCCCUUCGGCCAUCUCGCGACCGCCGUCCACCACCGCCCACCACCGUCCGCCGUCCGCCGCCAUCAUCCACCGCCGCCGGUCCGGCGAGCUCGCUGGAGGCAAGCCUAGCCACCGGCAAGGCUCGGCCUCACCAGAUCUGGCAAGGCCGAGCCUUGCCGGGGCUAGGCAGGGGCUAGGCAAGCCUUGCGACGCCCAACCCCACCGGUGGCCUGGCGAGGGUCGCCCAGCCUUGGCGAGGCUCACUUGGCCACCGGCGAGGCUCGCCCAGCCCUACCGGUGGCUUAGUAGGCCUCACCUAGCCCCGGCGAGGCCGGCCUGGCCACCAGCGGGGCUGGGCUCACCUCGCUGCUGGCGUGCCUUGGGCGGCGAUGCUCUGGUGAGGUCGCCAGCCACAAGAAGAAGAGAAGAAGAUGAGAAAAAGGAAAAAAAAAAAAAAAAGGAAAAAAAAAAGGGAAAAAAAAAAGAAAAGGAAAAAAAGUAAUAAAAGUAAUAAAAUUAUUUAAAAAUUAAAAGAAAUUGAUUUGGAACAGAAUUAAUGAGUACGGUACGAAACGCAAUUCUAUUUCAGAAUCAGAAAUUUUGAACAGUUAUCAAACAGCUUAAAAUGAUUAGAAUCAGUUCCCGGGAACAGAAUCAAAAAGAAUCAGUUCUGAUCAGAAUCUACUCCUAGAAACAGAAUCGUUACCAAACGCGCUCUUAGUGGUUUGGAAUUUUUUUUUUUUUUUAGGAACAAUAUUAGGGAGUUUUAUGUUUUCUUUUUAUUAUACUCGGUUGUACUUUUUAAUAUAUUGGAUGUUAUUUAUUUUUUUUUUUUUAGAAUGGUUUAGACAAAACUUAAAUUUCUUCGAUAGGUUGCUAUGGCUUUAGUUAACAUAAUCAAAUUAGAUACCGAAAAGGCAUUAGUCUUAGGGCUAACGUAAUUAAAUUCUCGAGUCUAUAAUCUUUGAUUAUAUAAUAAUAAGAUAUUCUCUUGUAUCUUAUUGAUUUCUAAUCGCCCCCUAAAAAAGCUAGUGACCACUUUUUUGUUAAAAUUUGCAUACACUAAAUUGAUUGAAAUUUUCAAUAUUUAAUGCCAUGCAAGGUAUGAAUCUGGGAGACCUCGACUCAAGGAAUGGUCAUCGGUCUUAAGUUGACAAUAACCCUAAACCUAACAAUGAGUUAGGUCACGACAAGUAUAUACUAUCUUUUCAUUCAAAAAUAUAUAUUUUAAUUCACAUCUUAUGCAAUGAGAGCAAGAGCAACACCAUUGAUUGAAAAUGAUUAAUAAAACCCGAAGCAAUGUACCGAUUUCUAUUUAUUUAUCAGAUCAUUCCGUUUUACCAACCUUCCUUAUUGUUAUGAUUUAUUUUGAGUUAAAAACGUUUGAGAACAAAAUCCAAAAGGAUGACUCUACAAAAUUGCCACACGAAAACCAGCAAAGCGCGAAGCAAUGUUGGGCAAAUUCACGAGAAAAAUCCUAGGGCGACCCGAUUUGAAACAAGCUCAUGUCAAAAUGGGCGUCUUAAGACUGAAACGAUGGACCGUUUCUCUUGCUAGCUUAAUUGGAACAUGAAUGAGAAUAUGGUUUGGAUUCGCUUUACAUUUCAUGAAAAUUUUUCUUCCCUACUUUAAAAAAAAAAAAAAUUGUUCCCAGCAUGAUAAUGAUGAUGAUGAUGUUAUUAUUAUUAUUAUUAUUAUUAUUAUUAUUAUUAUUAUUAUUAUUAUUAUUAUUAUUAUUAUUAUUAUUAUUAUGCUUUAGUUUUUCUAGGUUCUAAACUGGCCAAAGAAAUAAAUCAUGUGCUAUUGUAGUUGAUCAGUGCGGUUAAUUCACAUGAUUUUACUUCCAAAAAAGCUAAAAGUAACUCUAUUUGAGUAUUUUGUAAAUUCUCGAAUGCAGAAUUUGGUGUCAGCUAAGCCCGAAGUAAAUUUUAACGCAUCCCGAUCAUGAAAAUGCUUUGACAAAGCGUUCGUUCAUAUUAGUAGUUUUAGGGCACGUUUGGUAACGUUUCUGUUCAAAAAUUGUUCCAAGGAACAAAAAUAGAAAAAACUAUUUCUGCUCCGAAAAACAAUUUUUGAACAGAAGAAGGCGUUUGGUAAACUUGUUCCGAGAAUAAAAAAUGAACAUAAACACGUUUGGUAAAUUUUUGUUCUUUUUUUUGUUCUUUUAUUUUUAAAAUUUUAAUUUUAUUUUCUUUACUUUUCCUAUUUCUUUUUUCUCCUAUGCUGGGUUGCUAGCCCUCGCCCCAUGGCUGGCGACCGACUGACCGAGGGCCGGCGGUCUCGCGACCCACGGCAAGGCUCGCCGACCCUUGCGAGGCCGAGCCUCGCCGUGGUUGGGCGAGGCUCGACCUCGCUUGGCUGGGCGAGCUUGGGCUUGCCCAAAUUUGGCGAGCCCGAGCUCAACCAGCCUUGCCCCACACUAGCGAGGCUCGGCCUCGCCUUGGCCGGCGAGCCCGAGCUCACCCAGCCACCAAUGAGGCCAAGCCUUGCCGGGCCACCGCUAGGUCGACGAGCCUCGCCGGUGGCUGGGCGAGCUUGGGCUCGCCGGAUCUAGGUGAGCCCAAGCUCGCCCAACCAAGGUGAGGCGAAGCCUCGCCAGGGGCCGGCGAUGCUCCAACGAGGUCGCCGGCCAUGGCCGAGGCCGGCGACCGACCAAAGUAAAAAGAAAAGAAAAGAAAAAGAGAGGAAAGAGAAAAUUUGUUUUUAAAAAUUGUUCCAGAAAUAAGAAACAUAUUUUUAUUGUUUCUCGUUUCUGUUCCAAAUGUGUUCCUAGGAACAAAAAAAUAGAUUUGGAACAAAAACGCAAACAAAUGCGUUUCUGUUCUUUUUUUGUUCCCUGUAACAAAAAAACAGAAAAUUUUGUUCAUAAACAGAAAAAAAGAAUGUUAACAAACAGGGCCUUAACUAGUAUCUUUAGGGCACUUCUACACUUUUAAACACAAUUUUUUUUUAUGUUAAUUGUAAUAAACUCUUCAAUUUUUUUUUUUAAAUUCAAGGGAUUUUAUUUUCGCUCUAUAAAAAAUUAGUUCACUCUUAAAUUAUAAUGCGAUGGUUUUCAAGUGGAACCCAUGUUAGGAGAUCACUCGGCAAAUCGACAGCCGUCAAGUUCAGAUUUUGGAUGAAUAACGGCAUAGGGAAGGGAAAGAAAAAUAAAAAAACCAGAUAAUCUCUUUUUCCAUAACAGUCUCCAAGCAAUAAUGAACUUCAUCUUAGGAGCCAUAUGAAGAAAAUGACACCCAGUCACAACCGCAAAAACCUAUCUGAAAUUGAUUCCUAGAAAAUAACUUGGCCAAAAAAAUCCCAUCAAUUAAUUAAUCUCUAUCUACUUCUUAUAGAAAAAUGUCAAAAGUAGAGUAAUCUUGAUUUCGAAUCUUGCGCCAAUGACAACCACGUUGAUGACUUAAAGCAUUCUCAGUCACGUCAAGUUUGGGCCAAGGUCUUUUCUAGACAAUGACUUCUUGACAAUAUUUAUCAUUCCAUAAAUAUCAUCAAGGGGUCAAAAAAAUUCGAAGAAACAAGAGAAAAAGACUAAUGCGAAAGGAAUUGCGUAUAUUUUCAUUUUUUAUAUUUGCAAAUCUUUACUUUUUAGUAUGUAAUCCUCUAACAAUCAAGCUAUUUGAUGGUCAUAGUAAAUACUCUGUCAUCCCACUCUUAAAAGAGCAUGUCCCAUAUUUAUUGUUUGUCUAGACUAAUCUAUCUUCCGUUAAUUGUGAAUUUAAAUGAAUAACAAUAAUUUUCAUAGUUCGUCAAAUAGUUCCCUCGAAGUGCUUCUAAAAGGUCUCAUCUAUCCUAUCAUUCGCCUAUUGCAUAUCAAGUUUCAGCAUAGCUGGCAACUUCUUAUUGCUUGCAUGCACUCUUAGAGGGCAACAUCUCCUGAACAGAGUAUAUUGUCUUGAAUUUGAUAGCAACGGACAAAAGCAUUUUGUUCUAUGUAGAUAAUAUCCAAAACUAAUGAUUCUAAUCUGUUGGUCAUAAUUUUGUAGACAAAAUUACACAGGCUAAUGGGACGAAACUAUUUCAGCUUUUCUAAGUAGGGCAUUUGGGGAAUAAGUAUAAUUUAGGUUUUAUCUGCUUUAGCAUUUAAGCAUCCGGUGUUCUAAAAGCAAGUUAGUUCUUGAAAAACAUCGUGUUGAAUGUCCUCCUAGUGAUGUUUGAAAAAAUGUCCACUUAAACCAUCGGGACUGGGGGCUUUGAGAGCUCCUAACUAGCGUACGGUUUUUGAAAUUUCUAGUAUGGUGACCUUAGCUAUCAACUUUCAAUCCAUAUAUUCCAAAACUAAAGUUGGAAUAUGUUCAAUAAUUGGUUGGAAAUUCCUUUGUCUUAACGACAUAUAUAAACUCUUAAAGUAUUCCACCAUCAUUUGCUUUGGAGCAUUAGGUUCACGUGUCCACUCCCCAUCAAUAUUAGCAAUAUAGAGAUUCUGUCUUCCUACCUCCUUGAAUAGUUGUUGCAUGAAAAAUUUUGGAGUUUUUAUACCCCAUUUCAACCAGCUAAUUCUAGAAUGCAUGCCCCCAAAAAAUUUCUUCGCUUUUCCACAGUGAGCCAAUUUCCUUUUUUCAAUUUCGAUAUCUUUUCUUUACUUUGGGAAAUAUCUGGGCUGUUUGUUAUAUUUUUGAUUUCUUGCUUUAGUAUCUCAAUUCUCCUAUGAGAAUUUUUUUCCUACUCCAAGAUGCAAGGGUCAUUUUUCACAAUUUAGUUAUUACGGGCCUGUUUGGCAAUGUGCCAAAUAGUGUCUGAUUUUGAUUUUUUGUUCCCAGAAUCAGUUUGGGACGAAAAUCGCGUUUGGUAAAAUUUUUGUUCCUGGGAAUAAAUUUGUUCUCGGGAACAUAUUGGGAAGAGAAUUGAGAAUAAAAAAAAAAAUGAUUCUCCAUCCAAGAAUCAAAAAAAGAUCAAGUGUCCUUCUUCCCUUCCGACAUCCCGCAAUUGCCAUCCACCACCACUCGCCGCUGUCCGUUAUCACUCGUCGCCUCCGUUCGCCGCCGAUCUGGCAAGCUCGCCAGGCAAGGGCGAGGUCCAGCAAGCUCACCGGAGGCAAGCCUUGCCUCUUGGCGAGGCCGGCCUGGCCACCGGAGGGGCUAAGCGAGCCUCGCCGACAGCUGGGCGAGGCCGAGCCUUGCCGGUGGCCAAGCAGGCCUUGCCUAGCCCAGCUGCUGGCAAGGCUCAGCCAACAAGAGCCGACCUCGCUGAGGGCCAGCUACGCUCCGGUGAGCGUUGCCGGCCCUUGUUUGGCUGAUCCCCGGUCUGGCAAUCGGCCAAAUGAAGAAGAAGAAGAAUAGGAGAGAAAGGGGAAAAAAAAGAAAAAACAAAAGGAAAAAGGAAAAAGAAAAUGAAAAUGAAAAAAGUAAAAAAAGUAAAAAAAAAGUAUUUAAAAAUUAAAAGAAAUUAAUUUGGAAUAGAAUCAAUUAGCACGGUAUCAAACGCAAUUCUAUUCCAAAAUAAAAAAUUUUGGACAGUUACCAAAUAUGUUUUUUUUACUCAUAAUCAGUUCUCGGGAGCAGAAUAAAAAAUAAUCAUUUAUAGUCAGAAUCAGCUCCCGGGAGUAUAAUCAUUACCAAACGCGCCCUAAAUCAGCUGCUUCUUGCUUGGGAGAUAACCAAACCCCAUUGACAAUAUUUCCAUGCUCCUCGUCCUCUAAGCAUUAUGUUUCAAAUCUAAAUUCUUUUGCUUUUUCCACUGGUUGUGGGAAUAAUCUGAGCAAGAUAGGACUAUGAUCUGACCAACAGCAAAUAAAGCAAAGACUUCCGUGUCUGGAAAAGCACUACCUGUUCAAUCAUGCAUAAGACUCUAUCUAGUUUCUUUUUGACAAAUUCCUCCCAUUCUUUAUUAUUAUCCCAAGUAAAAGCACAUCCCUUGCUUUCCACUUCUAUAAUAUCACAAUUGUUUAGGAAGUUUCUAAAUGCUACUAGUCAAUAAUUGUUAGCCAUCCUCCUCCCCACCUUCUCCCAAGGAUAGAGUAUUUCAUUAAAAUCCCCUACAUACAUCCACCGUAGAUGGUUCGGAUGUUUGAUACCUUCCAACUCCUUCCAUAACAUUUGUCUAUCAUGAAAUACAUUGUGUGCAUGGAUACAAGAUAUAUGCAUUUGUAACUUAUGAUCUUUUAAUUCACAUAAUAUAUCAAUAAAAUCUAUCGAUAUUUUGCUUCAUGGAAAUUGCUAUCGUGGAUGCAAGUACUUUCCCUCUAUGAGCGCAUGUCUUGUUAAUAUCCUUUGACAGGGGAAGGGUAAAGGAAAGAGGAGGGGAGGGGGACCACAUUGGAGCCCUAUUUAUCAUUCUCUUUCUUUUAUUUUUUUUAAAAUUCAUUUUAAUAUAUUUUAUAAAAGUCUAUGCUUGAUUUGUCAACUAAAACUUAGGUGUCAAUAUUGACAUGUGGACAAUUUUUUAAUUUUUAAUUUUUAAUUUUAUUUUUUCUUCACAUGGCCAACAAGACUGCCAGCCCUUGGUAGAGGCGAUGGCGGUUUGGGCAGUGGAGAAAGCCAAGCCCAGGCAGAGCAUAGGUUGAAGCAGGAGGAGUAAAAGAGAAAAAGAUAAAUUUUUUUUUUUUUAAUUUCAAUGUCAAUAUCCAUACAUCAAGAUCUAACUGGAUAUCAAUAAAUAAGUGCACGCCAUAUGAGACGUUGACGUGGCGCUUGCAAAGCGUUGAAUAUUUUUUCUCUCUAUCGCGAGGACUAGGCUUAUGUCGCUAGCGAUUAGACUGCUGCCUCAAAAGUGGAUUGCGCAUCCUUGCGCGUGGACUAAGAGACACCAGCCGCACGGGUGACCGCGUGGGCCGGACCCGAGACCUCGUAGCCAGAUUUACGAACCCUACCGGCAGUCUCUGUCUUUUGAGUCCUUGGCCGAUUCUUCAUCGGUCCAGCUUUUGUCUCUGAGUUCUUCUUUCUGCUUCCCUGGCUCUCUCUCUCUUCCCACUUUCUUCUUCCUCCUCCUUCAAAACGAUAGUCAACGCAGAACCGCCUGGCAGCCACAAUCCUAGAUCUCUCUAUCUUCUCGCCCUCGACACCGUCAGGGCCGGGCGAUCCAUCGUCGUUACGGGUCAGCAUCGUUUAUUUUUGCACUCCUAUGUUUUUCCGGUGAUCCCGACGUCGAUCUCGCCCUCUACACCCUUGCCGCGGCGCGUUCCUUCCUCGUCCAGCAGCAUAUUUAUCUGAAAUCGAAAGCUGAAAACGUUUUCACCAACCAUACGGCCCUGAGACCGCUUGUUUCUUUGAAGCGAGCGAGAGCGAGAGCCAGGGCAUAGGGAAGAGAUCGUCGACUUCACUGCCGAUCGGGGAAGGGCAACCCCCGAUCAGAGGCCGCUCAGCAUCUCCAAGAGUAAAGCCCACUCUGCUUCAGCCUUCAGCCCUUGAUUUUCAUAGCAAGACUCUCUCUCUCUCUCUGUUCCGAAGCUUGGCAUUCUAGAGAAGCACAUAUACCAUCAGCUCUUCUAAUGGCUGCUUCUUCGAAUAUGAAAAGGAAUUAUUACCAUGUGUUCCUCAGUUUCAGAGGAACAGAUGUCCGCCACGGCUUCCUCAGUCAUCUCUACGCCUCUCUGGACCAGAGAGGAAUAUACACUUUUGUGGAUCGCGAGGAGCUUAGGAAAGGAGAGGAAAUAUCGCCGACGCUCAUGAGGGCGAUCGAGCAAUCGCGCGUUGCGAUCAUCAUUUUCUCUGAGGACUACGCCUCCUCACCAUGGUGUUUGGAAGAGCUCUUGAAAAUCAUGGAGUGCAAGGAGCAAAACGGCCUGAUUGUGUUCCCUGUGUUUUACAAAGUGGAACCGAGAGAAGUGAGAAGGGGGAGAGAGAGUUAUAAGAGAGCUAUGGAUAGCCAUGAGUCCAAGUUCGGAAAGGAUUCAGAGAAAGUAAAGAGAUGGAAGAGGGCUCUUCUUGAUGCUGGUAACUUGUCUGGGUGGGACUUCAAUGACAGGUACGCACAAAUGUGACGCAGUGCUUUGCGAUUGUAGCUCGUGAUUGUGUGUUAUAUAUCAAAUCGUAUGUAUAGCUUCGAAUUGCCAAAACGAUGCAUCAAGUUCUUUGAAUUCGCAGUAGACACAAAAGUUGAAAGACCAAAAUUUCAAGCAAGCAGAAAUUUUUGUCUUAGAUAAGUAGUGUGGUUCCUGGGACCCGAGUAAUUAGUGUCUUCAGGCGCAGAUUCUUUGUAAUUUUCCUUCCGCAGAUGUUGGCGCAGGUAUGUGUUAUUUCUUUUCAUCUUAUUAUUUGUUAACCUCCUUAUGAAAUUUUCCUUAUGAUGUUAGACGUUGAAUUCCUGCCAUGGCUUGAAAUGGUAAAAUAUGUUUCUAUUUCUUUUGAGUGCUCACUAGAGAAGAAAGAGAUGAAGCGGAGCUCAUACAACUCAUUGUCAAGGAAUUAUCAAUUUGUCUCAGACCAAGAUCCUUAUCUGUUGCUAACUAUCCAGUUGGUAUAGAAUCCCGAGUUCAAAAACUGAUAAGUUUGUCAGAGUCAGCUGGUAGUGAUGUUUUGAUAAUAGGUCUAUGGGGACCUGGCGGCAUAGGGAAGACCACGAUUGCUAAGGCCCUGUAUAAUGCUAUUCAGACGCAAUUUCGAGGUUCUAGUUUUUUGGCGCAAGUUAGAGAAAAAUCAAACCAAAGCAGCGGUCGUGUUGCUUUGCAAAAGCAACUUCUAUCUGAGAUCUUACCUCAUGAAGAUAUAAUGGUCUACAAUGUCGACGCAGGAAUUAAUUUGAUAAAGGAAAGACUAUGUCGCAAGAAGGUUCUCCUAGUUCUCGAUGAUGUUGAUGACAUGGAUCAACUGAAUGCCUUAGCUGGAAAAGGCGAUUGGUUUGGCAAACAAAGUAGAAUCAUUGUUACAUCAAGAGAUAGACAUUUAUUAACUUCUCAUGACAAAAAUUAUGUGUAUGAAGUUAAAACUUUGGAAGACGAUGAAGCACAAGACCUUUUUGGUCAGCAUGCCUUUAUAAACAGCAAUAAAGUAGAAAUAAGGAGGGAUCUCAUUGAUGGAGCAUUGCAUUAUGCUGGCGGCCUUCCAUUAGCCCUGGAAGUGUUGGGCUCAUUCCUACGUGGAAGAAAGGAACCUGAAUGGGAAAGUACGUUGCAUAAACUCUCUAAAAUUCCUGAAUCAAAAAUCGAUCGAGUUCUCAAGAUAAGCUUUGAUGGAUUGGACGAGAAUGAGAGGGAGAUUUUCCUUGAUAUUGCUUGUUUCUUUAAGGGGAAAAGUAUAAAGGAUAUCCAGGAAGUUCUUGACAGCUGUGAUUUCGACACAACCAUAGGAAUAGAAAUUCUCAUCGAGAGGUCCUUGAUAAAAAAAAAGGGGCCUUACUUGCAAAUGCAUGAUUUGGUUCAGUUGAUGGGUAGGAAUAUUGUUAAACAAGAAUGUCGCAAUGAUCCUGGGAAGCGCAGCAGAUUAUGGCUUUUGGAAGAUGUUGAGGACAUUUUUAAUUAUAAUACGGUAAAAGUUGUUUAUGUCAGUUUUGCUACAUUUCAGUUUAUAUUACUCUAAUUUGGACAGUAUAAUGUAAAUCUUAACUGGAAAUUUUGUCUGACAAAUGAAUUUGCUCCGUUAUGGAUAGGGGACGGAUGUUGUAAAGGCCAUGGUAUUGUGCUUGGCCCCAUCAGAAGCGAUAAUCAUCAGUCCUGAUGCUUUCACAAAUAUGAAAAGGUUGAGAAUACUCAUUUUGCAUGGAGGGCGUAUCUCUUCACAAGCUCAAGUACGUCUCCCUAACGAGCUAAGAUGGCUUGAAUGGUCCAAUGCCCCGAAUCUAGAAUUUGGCUCUGGUCCAAAUAAACUCGUGAGACUCGAUGUCCAGGAAAGUCAUAUCAAACAAUUAAUGGGCAACUUUCAAGUAAGCACUUGCGAUGAUUAGCUUUUCCUUUUUUAUAGCUAUAAAAAAUAUUUGCAGAGCUUAAUGACUGCACUAGUAUGUUUUUGCAGAAUUUUAGAAAGCUGAAGUCCAUCAAUCUCUAUAAAUGCAAGUCCUUGGUUAGUAUUCCUGAUUUGUCAUCGGCCCCAAAUAUGAAGAAAUUGAUUCUUAAUGAGUGUGAGAGCUUGGUGGAGGUUCACCCAUCUGUUGGAAAUCUUGUCAAGCUAGAAGUUUUGUUGCUAGAAUCAUGCUCUAAUGUUAGUAAUUUUCCUAACACACUGAGGAAUAAAUCUCUUAAACUCCUUCAUCUCUCUGGUUGCUCUAAACUUGAGAAGUUCCCAGAUAUUGACGGAAAGAUGGAACAUCUGGAAGAAGUUUAUCUAGCGAGGACAGCUAUUAAAGAACUCCCUGCAUCAAUUCAAAAUUUUGUCUCUAUGAGUGAGUUGUGUUUAGCAUUUUGUGAAGACCUCGUGAGGCUUCCACCGGCCAUUUAUAAGUUGAAAAAUCUCCAUCUUUUGAAUCUUGAUGGCUGCUCGAAUUUAAUCACGUUUCCAAAAAACAUGGAGGAUUCAAUUGAUUCCGAUGGCCUUCUGGGGUUCCGAAGACUAUCCUACCUAGGACUUAAGGGCUGCAAUCUAUCGGAAGUAGAGUUCCUUGAGAGUACUUCCAGUUUUCCCGAAUUGCAGAACCUAAACCUUUCAUAUAACAAGUUUACUCAUUUGCCGACAUGCAUCAACAAGUACAAUCGUUUGAGGCGAUUGAAGGUUAAGGGAUGCGAGCUACUACAAGAGAUUCCUCAGCUUCCACCAAAUAUUAAUAAGCUAUCCGCACCUAAUUGCAAAUCCCUGCAAAAACUCCCAGAUUUGCUGUGGGAUUCGGGUGACUUGACUUCAUGUUUAUUAUUCCGCGAAGGACUCAAUAUGGAUGAUGUGGCUAAUUUCUUAUUACUCGAGGUCUCUCUCUCUCUCUCUCUCUCUCUCUCUCUCUCUCUCUCUCUCUCUCUCUCUCUCUCUCUCUCUCUAUAUAUAUAUAUAUAUAUAUAUAUACUUAAAUGCUUGAUAUGCGUACCCUCUGUGUGGCAGAUGGGCUGCCUUGACGUUAUUAUAAGUGGAAGAGAGAUGCCUAAAUGGAUUCAACCCUGUGAAGAGGAUUCCAUAUCUUUCAUGAUUUUACAAGAAUUGUAUGAUGAGAUUAAAGGACUAGCAUUCUGUGUUGUUGUUAGCCCGGAGGAAGGAGAAGUGGUCAGCGUUUUUUGUUAUUUAACAGUUAAUGGCCAAGAAGGGAUGUCUCGGUUUAAAAAUCUUGGGUCAAUAGAAUCUGACCAUGUGUGGCUUUUUUAUGAACACUGUUUUUGGCUUUCAAGGAAGGAGUUUUUGCAAAAUGAUUGGAGCCAUUUCCAAUUUCGCUUCGAAGUAGGACAGGGAAGCAUAAAGAAGUGUGGAUUCCAUCUGACAUGUUAACAAAAGGAGGAUGAUCUGAGGGUGGUGUUCCCAGCACCACGAGCUAAUGGAAGCAAUGUGAACGUUUUCUGGGAAGACUCAGAAGAAGAUAAUUCAAUAGAACCUAAGGAAGAAACUCCAAUUGAAAUAGAUGCAGAGGAAAGCUCAUCACCUUUAACAAAGAAGAUAAGGUGGUCUUAACUACGGUGAGACUUUGGGUUCAAUGUCUUUGCUUUUCCCUUUUCUGGAUCUCCACUGGAGACUUGCAAGUGUCUGCUCCUUCAAUUAGAAUUCAAGAUCAUUAUAAAAUAGAGGUUUUGCACCAUGCUACUGACAUGAUUGGGGAACAAAUUUUUUUUUUUUUUGCCUCUGAUUCUUUAUGAUUUUUAGUGCAGAGUGCAUUAACCCAAAAGUAAAGAGGAUGCUCGUUGAAAUGGCCAUGGUCUUCCAAGUUGCACCGUGUAAUUUAUUAGAUGGGCCUCUGUCACCUCUCUUAAUCCAAUUCCAAUUAAUGAUGCCGAUACUUCAUAAUUCAAAAUUCUGAGAUAGUAAGUUUUGCUAAAUCUAGUAUAAUCUAUAUCUUUAGGAAAGUGCUGUUUGAAUUGUCUCAAAGAUCAAGAGGUCUAUACAGGGAAAUUUAGGGCCUGUUUGUUUGCAACUUGUUUCUGUUCCCAGGAACAAAAAUUUCUUUUUUUUUUUUGUUCCUGGAAACAAAAAAGGAACAGAAACACGUUUGUUUGCGUUUUGUUCCAAAACUAUUUUUUUUCCCAGAAACAAGAAACAAACAAAAGUUGUUUCUUGUUUAUGAAAAAAAAUUUAGAAACACUUCUCUCUUUUUUCUUUUUCUUUUCUUCUUCUUUUUUCUUUCUUUUUUCUUUGGCCGGUCGCCGGCCUCGGCCAUGGCCGGCGACCGGCCGUCGAGGGUCGGCAACGUCGUCGAGGGCCAGCGACCUCGCCAAAGCGUUGCCGGCCCCCGGCGAGGCCGAGCUCGCGCUGGGCUGGGCGAGCUCAGCUCGCCCAGCCAAGGCAAGGCCGAGCCUCGCCCAAUUACAGCGAGGCUCGGCCGAGCCGGGGGCUGGCGAGCCUCGCCGUGGCUGGGCGAGGCCGCCGGCCCUCGUCAGCCGGUCGCCGGCCAUGGCCAAGGCCGACGACCGGCCAAAAGAAGAAAAAAGAAAAAAGGAAAAAGGAAAAAGAAAAAAAGGAAAAAGAAAUAAAAAAAUAAGAAAGAAAAUAGAAAAAAUAAAAUAAAAAUAUUAAAAAAUUAAAAGAAAUAAAAAAAUUACGCAAAUUUACCAAACGUGUUUCUGUUCAUUUUUUAUUCCCAGAACAAGUUUACCAAACGCGUUUUUUUUGUUCAAAAAUUAUUUCCCGAAACAGAAACACUUUUUUCUAUUUCUGUUUCCUGGAACAAUUUUUAAACAGAAACGUUACCAAACGCACCCUUAGUUGAUUCCCCUGUUGUUACUUGGCAGCUUGCAUUGGAUUGGUAUAAAGGGACAGCUCUAGCGUCUGAGAAACGUUGCAUUUUAGCAAAGGAGAUUGACUUCAAGGAUAUUCAUGUAAAGCAAACGGUAUUUGUCAAACGCCUUCUAAAAUAAGUAUUGCAAAGCAAUUUUUAGAAUGAGAAAAAAAUCAAUUAAAAGGGGAGAAUGAAUGAACUUGUAGGUACAUAUGAAAGCACAAGCAGGUUGCACAACGGUAGGAUCAGUGCCGACCUUGUGCGACCCUAGGCUAUACCCUGCUGAGGUCAACCAAACCUUGGAGACGCGACACCAGUGUCACUUGACCCUAGGCGACGCGACACUAAAUACCAGUGUCCCAUGACCUCAUGUGGCGGAAUGUCAGAGCCCCACGACUAGGCAACGCAAUACUCAACCCUUGACAAGCUAAAUCUGGCAUCAAGCAACCCUCGCAAAGCUUCUUGGAAUCAUGCAACCCUCGACGAAGCUUUGCAGCUGUCCAUCAACCCUCGGCCUCCUUCACGAAGCCUCCUAGCCAUCACCAAUGAUGGCUUUCUCUCUCCUAACCAAGAUUGAGGGGUAAAAAAAUUAUUACAAAUAUAUUAAUGAUGGUAAGAUUGUAAGAAAAAGUAUUUCAUUAGACUUCCAGACUUGCAUUUGGAGAAUACUAAGGUGGAGCUUCAAGUAAUUCAAAGUAGAACUUUUCGCUAAAAAGUCUUUUUGAAUUGUGUUACCAAAUUUCAAAACUUAUAUUAAUAGCUUUUGAAAGCCCAAAAUAGCUUAAUUCAAAAUGACGGAGCACUCAAUUUUUUAAAGGCCAAAUUGGAUAGGACUGAAAUGGAGGGUAAAAUUGGAAUAGUGUACCACUCUCGGCGUCCUUGUGAGUCAAAAAAAUAUUUUGAUAAAUUAUUUAAGGGUGUUAAUUUAAGAUUUCAUGUGAUGUUAAUCCAAAUAAUAUCUAUGUAUUAUUAUUUUUUUCUUUUUUACCUUUUGAAGAGUUGAGUCUAAUUCAUUUGGCAAGUGAAAUGCUAAGUAACAUUUUAAUAAUUUCCACUGAGAAUGUUCGUAAGUUAAGUUGAUACUAGGAUUGCCCUUAUAUUCUUCAUCGGCUUACGCUUAAGUUCAUUCUCUUUCUCACNNNNNNNNNNNNNNNNNNNNNNNNNNNNNNNNNNNNNNNNNNNNNNNNNNNNNNNNNNNNNNNNNNNNNNNNNNNNNNNNNNNNNNNNNNNNNNNNNNNNUCGAGUCAACUCCACCGAAUGGGCAACCAAGACUAAAAUGAUGGGCCGAUUCUCUUGCUGAUCCUCUAGCCAGACUGAAGAAUGGGCCAUCUUCAUACCUCAUAUCUAAAAUAAAUCAACAUUGGGUUAUCGACCUUAUCAAGAUUAGAGAUCAUCUCAUCAAUAAUCAUAAAAUUCGACCCCCAACUCCUCUCAAUUAAAGAUAAUGCGAUAGCUACUUACUACUAGAACCGAUGUUAGGAGAUCACUUGACCAAUUGAGAGCCGUCGAAUUCAACAUUUGAAUUAAAAACCACAAACAGCGAAAAAAAAAAUCCUUUUCACAACACUUUCUAAAGUCUAUUUGAGGAAACUAUGAGAAAAUGAUAUCUGACUACUGCUGAAAAACCUCUUUGAAAUUUAUUGUUGGGAAAUAUCUUGGCCAAAAAAAUCCUUCUUAUAUUAAUUAAUCUCCAUUUACUUGUAAAUUUUUAAUUGAAGAAAAAUGUCAAAAGUAGAGUGAUCUUGAUCUCAAAUCUUGCAUGAGCGAUAGCCACAUGGACGACUUCAAGCAUCCUCAAUUAUGUCAGGAUGGACCAAGAUUAUGCAUUCUCUAGUAGUUAACUUUAGUAUGUUAAAAUGCCUUUUUAUCUACAGGGUUUUCAUAUAUAUGCAUUCUCUAUCAGUCACUGUUUUUUUGUUUUUGGGUUAGACAUUUUAACAUGCUCACAGAGUCAAGUUCUAAACCAGUUUUUUUUUUUUGGCACUCGUCAUUCGUUAAUUCCACAUGUCAUUAUCACAUUAGCUUUACACGCUAAGAAGCUUAUUACAGAAUUACCACAUCACUUGUCUACGCAAUUUAUACGAGCCCUCCCUAUGGAUUGCAGCCAACAAAAAAAUAUAUAAUUUACUCCUUCAAGUGAAUGAUUACAAAAUACCAAUUGCUAAAAUUAAAAUGUCGAAGUUUGCUAUACGCAUCUUAAUUUUUUAAAUAAUGAGUGAUUGACUUACCUUUUAUAAAAUGAAAGUGAUGCAUUGGUACAUGUAAAAGAAAAAAGGUUUAAGCCAACUACAAAAGUGAGAUGAAAAAGUAUAUCAAAAUAAAAUAUUGUUCAAGUUUUUCUUUUUAGUUUAAAGUCCAAGUCUAGGUGGCAAGUAUGCAAAGAUUGAUAGGGUUUCAUUCUUUUAAACCCAUAGUCCAAGAGGUACUUUGAGUAGUUAAAUGAUCAAUUCAUACAAUCAAUUUAGUGUUUAGUUACGAAGUCACCGAUUACAAAAACUCUAAGGGGUCAUAACCAUUUUUGGCUUAUUGAUGAAGUCUUGUUGCUCAUGGAUAAGAUAAAUUAGUAUACAUUAGUAAGAUUUGGUCAGGUGAAGAUUUGUGAUCACUAAUGAAAAAAAAAAUCAUACCAUGGAAAUAAUCUUAUUUAUUGUAAAAAAAAAAAAAAAUCCUCGAUGGGGGAGAUGGUUCGGGUCGGCCCAACCUUCAACAGCGAGUGGCCAGCACAUGUGAACAAAUGGGUUGGAAAAAAGAAAAAAGAAAAAACUGCGAACAAAAGCUGCAGUGCAAAUCCUACAUGUUGUUGACUAAACUCGAGGAAUGUAAAAAAUGUACUGGAUCCCACUUUUUUAACAACAAUUUUACAUCACGAUUAUGAAGAUUUGUGAUAUAAUAUAUAUAUAUAUAUAUAUAUAUAUAUAUUAUAUAGUAUUAAGACGUUUUUGUAUUUAAUUGCAAUGACACAUAAUAAUCUUAUAUAAUAUAUUCGAAGUAUCGUAGAAGUGCUCCUAACAUAUAAAUUUAUCAUCGAAGGAAAAUAAAAAAGUGACAUUCACACUUUUUAUAUAUGGCAACAUGCCAAUUGGAAAAAAAAGUUUUCCAAUUUACAAUAAAGACCAAUUAGAUAAUGCACAAAUAUUCAGGUAAAACUUAAACACGAAUGUUGCGCACAAUAUCAAGCUUAAACUUGCCCAUACCCAAUUGAUAGUCUCAAGAGCCUAUUCAGGCUUAACUUACUUUUUUGUCAAUUAUUUAAUAUAGUCAAAUUGAGUGAAGUCAAAUUUGAAUGGUCCAAUUUUCUUUUUCAAGUUGAGUUUGAACAAGAACUUUAAUACGUGAUUGAGUUCAAGUGAAGGUUCAAAUAUCGAGUAUGUUGUAAUAGCUCAACUCAAUUUGGAUUAUGUCUCCACAUUGAGGGCUAGACCUAGGACCCUAACACUUGGACUAGAGACAUCAGCAAAACAAGUUAUAGCAUGGGCCGCCUAAGACCCUACCAUAGACUUGGGACCUUGGCCCUGGACUUGAGUUGUGAAUUAUGGAACUAUAACGUGCUAUCAUCAAUUUGUAUUUAUAUAUCGCAUAACAACUCCAUAUUACAAAAUACUUGACGAUGUUGUACAAAAAAGAUCAUUAAGUCUGCCACAACGCAAGAUAUUAAUAGAGUACCGAGCAAUAAGUACAGAAACAAUCUCUCGCAACAUAUUUACUCUCAAAACUUACCAAGGGAAACUCUAAGGGUGCGUUUGUUUGUAUUUAUGUUCAAAAAUUGUUCCAGGGAACAGAAAUAGAAAAAACUAUUUCUGUUCCCUGGAACAAUUUUUUAUUAGAAUAACGCGUUUGGUAAACUUGUUCUGGAAAUAAAAAAAAGAACCGAAACACGUUUGAUAAAUUUAUGUUCUUUCUUUUUUGUUUUUUUUUAAAUAUUUUUAUUUUAUAUUUCCUUUUUUUCUUUCUUUUUUCUUUUUUUUUCUUCUUUUGGCUGGCGGCCUCGCCCAGCCAUGGUGAGGCUUGCCGACCCCUGGCGAGGCCGACCUCGCCCAACCACCGGGUCGCCUAGCGAUGGCCCGGCGAGGCCGANNNNNNNNNNNNNNNNNNNNNNNNNNNNNNNNNNNNNNNNNNNNNNNNNNNNNNNNNNNNNNNNNNNNNNNNNNNNNNNNNNNNNNNNNNNNNNNNNNNNGGUAGAACAAGUUUUUUUUGUUUUUUGUUUCUAUUCCAAAUGUGUUCCCAGGAACAAAAAAAACAAAUUUGGAACAAAAACGCAAAUAAACGUGUUUAUGUUCUUUUUUUGUUCUCAGGAAAAAAAAAACAAAAUUUUUGUUCAUAAACAGAAAAAAAGAACACGACCAUGCACGUCCUAAAACACUCUCAAGGUAGAACCACACGAACUCCAUCUUCAGAUCGAUCUUCACUCCAAGCUUCAAGCCAAGUCAAACUCGUGCUCUGGUUUGGCCACAACCCAUGACGUCAAAAUGACAUGUCCGAUUACUCGAUCUCUUCCUAUAAAUUUUCGAUCGGAAAAAAAUUCAUUAGGUUAUGGAAAAUGUGCACUAUGGUUUUCGGUUAGUGGCUUUGAAAGUGCCUUUCCCCGGUUCCCGUACGAAAGAAGGAAAAUAAAAAAAACGAACUCGCUGCUCUCCCUGAUGGUGCGAGCGUCUUGGCUCACCGAUGGCACAAGUGUAAUUGCACGAGUGCCUAGCUCAGUCGACUCAGGAUUUCAGCCUCUCGAGUCGGCCCCAUCCCCCGAGACGAAUCACGGCCGUCGAUCAUACCCGGGCCGUGUGUCGGCACACAGUGACCCGACACACGUGCGGAGUCUCAUUUUACGUGCUUUCCCUCCCACCAGCCAACGACCCAUCCCUCUCUCCGUUGGUUGCGGAGAGAGCAGAGUGAUUUAUAAUGCUUCAGAGCGGUUUUCUGGCUCUUAUCUCAAAUAAGCAUGUCUGAUUCGGCUACCGAUAUAACUAAUUAUUCUCAUAUAAAAUGAUUAUCAUUUACGCCCUUACUCAAUUCUCACGUGAUAUUGACUGAACCGGUGCAUCUCGUUUUAUUCUAAGGCCAAUCUCGAUUGAACCGGCGGUUUUUUACAAACGUCAAGUGGGUCCCGCUUCUUUGCUUCCCGCAUUUUGCCAGCAUAAUCUCUGUCCCUCUCUCUCCACUCUCCCCUCGCCGCCAGUCCUCGAAGCGCUCCAUCAUCAUCCUCGCCGGCGCUUGCUUCGCCAUCCCCGCGAUCUCCUCCGCCUCGCGGCUUAUCGGAAUCACCUUGGGCUAUUCUUGCCAUUUUAACCUUUUUUAAUGUCGCGAAUAAGCAAACGGAAGCAUGGGAAAUAGCCCAAAACCCAGGAAGGAAACGCCCCUGAGAAUGUCUGCCUCCUGCACAGCAUCUUCAUCCUCCCUCAGAAUCUGCUCUAUCCGGUAAGUUCCUCCUUUUUCUCUGUUUUCCCUCGAUUCCUUCAUGCCCUAUACGAUUAUACUCCUUCGGAUUGAGANNNNNNNNNNNNNNNNNNNNNNNNNNNNNNNNNNNNNNNNNNNNNNNNNNNNNNNNNNNNNNNNNNNNNNNNNNNNNNNNNNNNNNNNNNNNNNNNNNNNNNNNNNNNNNNNNNNNNNNNNNNNNNNNNNNNNNNNNNNNNNNNNNNNNNNNNNNNNNNNNNNNNNNNNNNNNNNNNNNNNNNNNNNNNNNNNNNNNNNNNNNNNNNNNNNNNNNNNNNNNNNNNNNNNNNNNNNNNNNNNNNNNNNNNNNNNNNNNNNNNNNNNNNNNNNNNNNNNNNNNNNNNNNNNNNNNNNNNNNNNNNNNNNNNNNNNNNNNNNNNNNNNNNNNNNNNNNNNNNNNNNNNNNNNNNNNNNNNNNNNNNNNNNNNNNNNNNNNNNNNNNNNNNNNNNNNNNNNNNNNNNNNNNNNNNNNNNNNNNNNNNNNNNNNNNNNNNNNNNNNNNNNNNNNNNNNNNNNNNNNNNNNNNNNNNNNNNNNNNNNNNNNNNNNNNNNNNNNNNNNNNNNNNNNNNNNNNNNNNNNNNNNNNNNNNNNNNNNNNNNNNNNNNNNNNNNNNNNNNNNNNNNNNNNNNNNNNNNNNNNNNNNNNNNNNNNNNNNNNNNNNNNNNNNNNNNNNNNNNNNNNNNNNNNNNNNNNNNNNNNNUCCCGCCUUCCCGCUCUUGUUGAAUCUCCAUUUUCCCAUCCCUGGGCCAUGGCCCCCCACCAUACCCUUAUCUCGAAUAUAAUGUCCCGUCCCAUUUCCAAAUUUUUACUAAAAAGGAAAUUGAGCACAAUAAAAAUAAAAAGGGAAAAUGACACCGCGAUCUCUGAAAUUUAGCACAAGAAGGAAUGUCAUUCUUGAACCUUCAAUUUAUUCAAUAUAGUCCAUAAAAUUCAUAUCCAACCUAAUUUUUAGACUAUACAAAAAUAUUCAAGACUGUCAUUGAGUUUAAAUUAUUGAACUGGCGGUUUUUUACAAACGUCAAGUGGGUCCUGCUUCUUUGCUUCCCACAUUUCGCCAGCAUAAUCUGUGUCCCUCUUUCUCCACUCUCUCCUCGUUGCCAGUCCUCGAAGCGCUCCAUCAUCAUCGUUGCUAGUGCUAAUCUCAAGAUUUUGGACUCUGGAACCUAUCACGUCCUCUAUUUUUCUGAUCUGAUUCGAGGGUUCACUCGAGAAUCGGUUUUAUCUUCUUCUUUUUUUUUUCUUUUUUUAACUGCAAAAUCAUAUGAGAUUAUGAGUAACGAAAUGAUUCAAAGUAAAAGAUAAAUAACAAUAAUCCUAAUCUACAAAAAACAACAAUCUAAAUACGUAGUCAAGUAAAAUUAUAAACGAUAAAAAAGUUCAAACGAGUAAUAUAAAACAUUAAUUCCCCACAUAAAAGUUAAAGGAAAAUGAAAGACUAGCAAGAAGUUUAAAAAAAGGACAAAAGACGAAAGAAUGCUAAGGUUAAAAUUUAGGGGAAAAAACAAUUAGAAUUUAAGCUUUUUAACUUAUAAAAUAGAUUCCAAAGUAGAGUGGAAUCGGUAGAUCUUUACUUGAAACCUAUUCCUAGAACUAUUUCAAGGAGAAUCGAUCCUCAGACAUAUUUUUUCGAAAGUUGGAUCCAAUUUCUAAGUAGAAUCGGUUUAGUUGCACACCUCUAAUAACAACAUUAAGUAUUUUCGUAUAGUAUAGGAACUAACUUGAAUAUGUACUAAAAUUUUAAGGAUCAUAUUAAAUAAAUUAAAAGUUCAAGGACUGCAUUAUAAAUUAAGUCAAAAUUCAAAGACUAUUUAUGUCAUUAUCCAAAAUUGAUAUCAAUAUCCAUUUAGAAAUUUUAAAAUAGCAAUUUGCUUUUAAGUUAGCAAAUUUUUUUAAUAUUAUCAAAGCACUAUUAAUAACCCGAAAGUCCGCCACCACAGAAACAUUAUCGCUAUCUCCCCCUCUCUUAAAGUCUCAAAGCUCAAAAGGAUAAAAAAAUAUGAACAGCGCUCAGAGCUUCUCACUCGAUAAACCCUCGCGGCAGCUUUCGUCUUCCGAGUCCUUGGCCGAUUCAUCAUCGUUCCAGAUUCGUCGGUCGAUCACGUUGGUCUCGCCCUCCAAACCCUGAGAGCGCUUGUUUUUUUGAAGCGAGCGAGAGCCAGAGCCGGGGCAUAGGGAAGAGAUCCUCGACUUCACUGCUGAUCGGGGAAGGGCAACCCCGGGUCAGAGGCCACCCAGCAUCUCCGAGAGCAAAGCCGACUCUGCUUCUGCUUUAAGCCCUUGAUUUUCUUAGCAAGAAUCUUUCUCUCUCUCUCUCUCUCUCUCUCUCUCUCUCUCUCUCUCUCUCUCUCUCUCUCUCUCUCUGUAUCUGUGAAUAUAUAUAACUAUGCACGUGUCACAACUUUUUAAUUGAAUGGUUUGUGUGAGGGGACUUUUAAAUUUGUGUGUCUCACAGAGGCACAGACAGACAGGCAUACACUCACUUGUAGUUGAAGAUUUAUAUAUGUCACAAGCUAGAAUAUAUGUAUUUAUAAAGGAUAUAUAUUUUGUGGAUAGCGAGGAGCUUAGGAAAGGAGAGGAAAUAUCGUUGGCGCUCAUGAGGGCGAUUGAGGAAUCGCACGUUGCGAUCAUCGUUUUCUCUGAGCACUACGCUUCCUCACGGUGGUGUUUGGAAGAGCUCUUGAAAAUCAUGGAGUGCAAGGAGAAAAAUGGCCUGAAGGUGUUCCCUGUGUUUUACAAAGUGGAACCCAGAGAAGUGAGAGAGGGGAGAGAGAGUUAUAAGAGAGCUAUGGAUAACCAUGAGUCCAAGUUCGGGAAGGAUUCAGAGGAAGUGAAGAGAUGGAAGAAGGCUCUCUCUGAAGCCGGUAGCUUGUCUGGGUGGGAGUUGAAUGACAGGUACGCACAAAUGUGACAAUGGUGUUUUGUGAUUAUUAGCUCGUGAUUGUCUGUGAGAUAUCAGAUCAUAUGCACUUUUUUGGAUCUUCGAUUGAAGAUACAAAGUGGAGAUAAAUUAGAUAGUAGACACAUGAUCAAAUAACCAAAGCUCGUAGAUUCUUUGAAUUGAUUCUUGCUGUGUGGAUAAUGAGAAAUUUAUCAAACAUAAAUAGUGCGAUUCAUAGUGCCUUAGUCAUUAUUGUCUUCAGAUUCAAGUUCUUUGUAAUUUUCCUCGCGUAGAUGUUGACGCAGGUUCACCCACUUUUCAUCUUAUUAUUUACUAUUCUUCUUAAGAAAUUUUCCUUAUCACGUCAGAGGUUGAAUUCCUGCUAUGGCUUUGAAAUGCUAAAACGGGUUUUUCUUUCUUUUGAGUGCUUAUUAGAGAUGAAGCAGAUCUCAUACAAUGCAUCGUGAAGGAAUUAUCGAUUUGUCUCAACCAAACACCCUUACAUGUCGCUAAGUAUCCGGUUGGAAUAGAUUCCCGAGUUCAAAAACUGAUAUGUUUGUCACAGAAAGAGUCGGCUGAUGAUGAUGUUCUGAUGAUAGGUCUAUGGAGACCUGGAGGCAUAGGGAAGACAGCAAUUGCCAAGGCCCUAUAUAAUGCUAUGAUGAGACAAUUUCAGGUUUGUAGUUUUUUGGAGCAAGUUAGAGAAAAAUCACACCAAAGCGGUGGUCUUGUUUCUUUACAAAAGGAUCUUCUAUCUGAGAUCCUGGUUCAUCCUUUAACGGUCUACAGUGUCGCUGGAGGAAUUAGUUUGAUACAAGAAAGACUAUGUUGCAAGAAGGUUCUCCUGGUUCUUGAUGAUGUUGACCAUAUGAAUCAACUGAAUGCAUUAGCUGGAAAAGGCAAUUGGUUUGGAAAAGGAAGUAUAAUCAUUGUUACAACAAGAAAUAAACAAUUGCUGACUUCUCAUGGCAUAAAUCGUGUGCAUAGAAUUCAAACUUUAGGAUGUUGUGAAGCACGAGACCUUUUUUGUCUGCAUGCUUUCCCAGAUAGCAAGAGUGUUGAAAUAGGAGUGGAUCUCAUAGAUAGAGCACUGCGUUAUUGUGACGGCCUUCCGUUAGCCCUCGAAGUCUUGGGCUCAUUCUUAUGUGGAAGAAACGAAGCUGCAUGGGAAAGUGCAUUGCAUAAACUUUCCAAAAGUCCUGGCCAAAUUAUUAAUCAAGUUCUCAAGACAAGCUUUGAUGGAUUGGAGAACAAUGAGAGGGAGAUUUUCCUCGAUAUUGCUUGUUUCUUUAAAGGAAAGGGAGUAGAAUACAUCAAGGAAGUUCUUGAUGACUCUGGUUUUAACACAACCAUAGGAAUAGAAAUUCUCAUCGAGAGGUCCUUGAUAAAAAAAUGAGUAUGGAACCCUGCAAAUGCAUGAUUUGAUUCAGUUGAUGGGUAAGGAUAUUGUUAAUGAGGAAUGGCCCGAUGAUCCUGGGAAAUGCAGCAGAUUAUGGCUUUUCGAAGAUGUUGAGGAAGUUCUCUAUGAAGAUACAGUAAAAGUUGUUCAUGUCCAUUUUGCAACAUCUCAGUUUUUUACUUUGCUCUGAUUUGGAUUGUAAUAUGUAAAUUUCGAUCGAAAAUUUUGUCUGACGAUUGAAUUUGCUCUGUUAUGGAUAGGUAAUGGAUGCAGUAAAGGCCAUAGUAUUGAACUUGGCCACACCAAAAGAGAUGACCAUUAGUCCUUGUGCUUUCAAAAAAAUGAAAAGGUUGAGAAUGCUCAUCUUGCACAAAGUGCAUAUCUCUUCACAAGGUCCUGUACGCCUCCCUAAUGCGCUCAGAUGGCUUGAAUGGCCCAAUGCCCUGCAUCUAGAAUUUGGCCCUGGUUCAAAGAAACUGGCAAGGCUCCGUUUUCAGAACAGUCAUAUCAAACAAUUAGUAGGCAACUGUCAGGUGAGUCCUUAUGAUGAUCAGCUUUCCCUUUUCAAAGCUAUGAAAAUAUUUCAGAGCUUAAUGACUGCACCAGUAUGUUUUUGCAGAAUUUUAUAUGUUUGAAGUCCAUCGAGUUCCGGGAUUGCAAGUCCCUGGCUAGUAUUCCUGAUAUUUCACCGGCUCCACUUCUGGAGAGCUUAGAUCUUUUCAGUUGCAAAAGCUUGGUAGAGGUUCACCAAUCUGUUGGAGAUCUUGACAAGUUGAAAUAUUUGAAUAUAUCAAGUUGCUCCAAUCUUCGGAUCUUUCCAAACACACUCAAGACAAAGUCUCUUCAAUGGCUUGAUUUCUCUGGUUGCUCUAAACUUGAGAAAUGCCCAGAUAUUCUGGAAAAGAUGGAACACCUAAUAUAUUUUUUUCUAAAAGGGACGGCUAUUAAAGAACUCCCUGCAUCAAUUGAAAAUCUUGUCUCUAUAGAGCAGAUAGAUUUAGGUUGUUGCAAUAACCUCACAAGGCUUCCGUCGAGCAUUCAUAAGUUGAAAAAUCUCAAGUCUCUGGUAGUUAGCUACUGCUCAAAUUUUGUCAUGUUUCCAAAGAACUUGGAGGAUUCAAUUGAUCCUGAUGACGAUUUGGGAUUCCCAAGUUUAAGGUGGCUAGACCUCUCUCACUGCAAUCUAUCAAAAGCAGAGUUUCUUGAGAAUGCUUCCAGUUGUCCUAUAUUGACGUGCUUAAAUCUUACAAAUAACAAAUUUACUCAUCUUCCUACAUGCAUCAACAAGUAUAAUUAUUGGAAAGACUUGUUUGUUUAUAGCUGCAAGCAAAGCAAAGGGGUCAGUGUGGCUGAUGCGUCAUCACCCAAGGUCUCUCUCUAUCUCUCUCUCUCUCUCUCUCUCUCUCUCUCUCAUUUUGAAUGUUUGAUACGUGUACAUCUGUAUGACAGGAAGUUGAGAUUCUUGUAAAUGGAAGAGAGAUGCCUGAAUGGAUUCUCCAUUGUAAAGAGGACACCAUAUCUUUCAUGGUUCCCCCAGACUUAUGUGACAAGAUCUUGGGACUAGCAAUCUGUGUUAUUCUUCGCCAGAAUAAGAAAGGCUCGUUCAAUGAUUCGUCCUGUUCAUUUGACAUCAGCUUGUUUGUAAAUGGCAUAAGAUCGUAUUACCGUUUGAUAUUUUUUGAUCCAUUGGAAUCCGAUCAUGUGAGUCUUGUUUAUUUCCCAAGCAACAGAAAGAUGGAAGAGAAGCCUCUGCAAACGAUGGAGCCAUAUCAAGUUUGUGUCAGGGCACCGGAAGGAACCAUAAAGAAGCGUGGAUUCCGUCUAAUAUGUGAGCAACAGGAGGAUGAUCUGAGGGUCUGUUUUCCAACACCAUCGGCGGAUGGAAACAGAAUGGAGUUUCAAGGAAAGAUACUCGAAGGAAGACAAUUAUCAAUAGACACCGAGGACGAAAAUAGU